GCGUGGCGUAGGUUAUCCGGCGUUGGGACAGGCCCCAUACGUGACGUUGGUUGUACCGGCGUAUGGGGAGAUUUGUGAUAUUAUGUUCAGGUCUCACGUGGGGUAGGUUAUCCGGCGUUGAGACAGGCCCCAUACGUGGCGUUGGUUGUACCGGCGUAUAGGGAGCUAUGUGACAUUGUGUUGAGGUCGCACGUGGCGUAGGUUAUCCGGCGUGUCGACAGACCCCAUAUGUGGCGUUGGUUGUACCAGCGUAUGGGGAGAUUUGUGAUGUGAUAUUGAGGUCCCGCCUGGCGUAGGUUAUCCGGCGUUGAGACAGACCCCAUACGUGGCGUUGGUUGUACCGGCGUAUGGGGAGAUAUUAUGAUAGUAUGGCAUGGUCGCACGUGGCGUAGGUUAUCCGGCGUGUUGACAGGCCCCAUACGUGGCGUUGGUUGUACCGGCGUAUGGGGAGAGAUUAUGUGGGAUACAGAGAAAUGAAUUAAGAUAUCGCCCAAGUGUGGAAUUGGAUUUUAGGGAAGAACUACGUGUGGCUUGAUCCCUCAAGGAGGGUACGUAGGCAGCCUAAGGUUAUUAGGUGCAGCCGCAGACUAAAUAUUAGUCAUAAAUUAUUUUGUUAGCAUGUUUGGUAGUUGGUUAAGAAUUAUUGGAAGGCCAAAGGCCAUUUAUGUGAAUUUGCAUGAGAUUAUAUUGUGCAUGCUGCCCGUUGGUAAUAUUAAAUGUGUUUUUAUGCAGGUUGAAAUUUUGGGAAAUGUCCAAAUUAUAGGGGAGACUCUGCCGAAAUUUUGGCAGGAAGUCUCGGUUUUUAGUAAGUGGGCCUGACAUCGGGGUGAUGUCAGGAGUUCCAAAGGGUUUGUCUCGGAUUUUGAGAAAAUUCGGGGCGGGUCCUUUCACCCACUCCCUUCAUCUCGCACGCCCUAACCUGCUCCGACGCCGACAAAGCAAUCAGUCACCGACGUCGGCCAAGCACUCGUAUGGACAUACCCACUCUCUUCCCCCAAGAUUUCUGAUGGCCUGAGUUAUUUUCCACUGCCUCUACCCUAGACCAUCUACCCUUCAGUUCUCCAGAAUUUUCAGAAUCUCUACAGCCCCAACCACGCAGUGAUUCAAAGGUAUUUUCUUCUUUUGUUUAUUCAACAAUUGUUCUAUAGUUAAUUGAUUUUGAUUCUUUCAAAAUAAAAUCUGUUUUGUUUUGUUUUGUUUUUUUUGUCUUAACAACAGGGUCGUUGCAACCCCUCAACCAUUGAAUUGACAAAGUCCUCCUCUCACGACUUCUUUCAUAUGGUGCCUUUAUGUUAGGUAUGAAGACCAUUUGCUCUAUAUGAUGUGCUUUUUGAGUUUUGGAACAUGGAAAUAUUUAUUUGGUCAUCUAUGAUUUACUGAAAACUACUUCAUACCAUGUGGAUUGGUCCUUAAUGAUAAUGUUGAAUGAAAGAAGGUUAAACAAUUAAGGACUGACAGGUAACAAACUGGUACAUGAGUGAUUCUCCCAAGUAUAGUAGACUUUUGAAUUAUUUAGAAUCAAUUACGAGCCCUUGUGUAAGUGUCUUUAAUUUAUUAGACGAGUUUGUAGUCAAACCUAAUUGGAUUUGCACAUAAUUGAAGUAAAAGAAUUGGAAGUUGGAAGUGGGUUAUGUGGGUGUGUAUUCGUUUCAAGGUUUCUUUGCUUUUGUCUGUAAGAUUAUGCUUUAUUUUAGUUAUUAUUAUUGUGUGUUUUUUUUUUGGUCAAAGGAGCUUAUGCUUUUAUUGUUUGGGAGAAUUUAACUAGGAAAAAUAAUGUUGUUGUUUUUUUGAUGAUUAGAGAAACUUAAAGGGAGAAGUCAUAGACUAUUUUGAGUUUGCAUACUAAUUUGGUCUCAAGCUCUCCCAAAAUAUCGUGUCUAACAAAUUUUGUUAUUUUUUGCAGUAGCCUAUUUGAAACAUUUUCUGUGAUGAAUAAUUCAUCUAUCUCAAGCACCUUUGUGAUAAAAGUUGAAUGCUUUAAUUUUUUUCCUGUCUUUUUUGUUUUGUUUUAGGGAAUGAUAUAUUAGUAUGUUGCUCUGUUUGAGGCUUUGAGCCUUCUCUCUCUAUUUUUGUGCUUUGUAAAUGUGCAGGAUGAUACUUAAGAUGGCUUUUGGUUAAGCAAUAAUAAUAGGCCACAUCUCAUCAUGUGUCUCAUUCUCUAAGGUGGUUAUUUCUUUCACCCAUGUAAUCAAAUCUUUAGAGCCUGUUUUCUCAGUUGUCUUUUUGUCAUUCCUAGGCAACUUGUACACUUUAUGGGUCUGGCUUUCAAUCCUCCCUAUUGUCUUGAGGAACAUUUACUCAAAAUGCAGUUUACAGAACUUCAAGGAAGUAGAUGGGUUGAAUUUGUAUGGUUGGAUCACUAUACUUUCAAUCCUCUAUCUAUUUCCUGUGGCUAUUUUUGUAGGGUCUCAAUGGGUUCAAGGGUAUCACAGAGCUAUUGCAACCAUAGGAAAACCAUCCACAUUUUGUUGAAGUGUCUUUUUGCUUAGCAAUGGUAGAAGACUAAGUGCCUAGUAUGUGCUUAAGCAAAUUCUGAGUCUUGGGCAUGAAAAUAUUAUAAAGAAAUAUCUUAUAGACUUCUAGUUUUUCACUAGGAUCAUCCUCUCUUAGCUCGUGUUUUAACCUUUAAAGAAUUUUUCAUGUCAUUUUAUUUCAAUUCAAUCCUCUUUUUGUACAUUUAGAUAUCUUUUUAUUUCAUUUCCUCACUGUAUUCUAGUGGAAACUGAAAAAGUUGUCCUUAAAUGUUUCUAUUUGCACUGAAAACAUUAAAACUAAUACUUAUUUAUGGUUAAUUGAUAUUAGUUCAUGUUUGAUAGGAAACUUAUUCUAAGUAUUACAUAGGAAGAAUAUAACAAUUCUUGUAUGUAAUCAAAACAGAAACACUGCAAGGCCAAUACUUUGAACAUAAAAUAGAAAGAGUUUGAUCAUAUAGGAGGUCACAUCCUUUCCUGAAACACAUGGAAGCUGCCAAACAUGUUUAUAAUUUUAUGUCACUUUUAUUCUUUUUUUUAGUUAUUAUAUUGUAAUAAUUUGAAGUAUUUCUAAAUUUCUUUUGGUUGGAAAAAUAUAAAAGGGUGAAAAUCCUACAUACAUGCAAGUUUUUGACAACCCAUGAUUUUAGUGCUAACUAUGUACCUGGUUUUAGCAUCAAAUGAAUUUCUUUUGGUUGGAAAAAUGUAAAAGGGUGAAAAUCCUACAUACAUGCAAGUUUUUGACAACCCAUGAUUUUAGUGCUAACUAUGUACCUGGUUUUAGCAUCAAAUGAAGGCCUUAUUCAUUUAAGAAACUGAAAUGCUUGUAUAUCUUGACAAUGGUUUUUUUAUACUGAAAACUCAUUUUUUUUAAAAAAAAUAAUUUUAAAUACUGAAAGGCCUUAAUUUUCCACUGAAUUGGUUGGGUACAUCGAUGUGGAAUGGAAUCACAUUUUGACAACCUCUCUCUCACUCUCUCUCUGAUUUUGUAGUAGCGUUUUCCUCUGUUUUCCCGUUAUUUAAUUGGUUGUGCUUUGUAACUCAAUAUUGCACUGUAGUCUUGUCCGUUUCUUCAAUGAUAUAUCAAAUUGUCCAUUUUUUUAUAAACACUUUGUAUUUCUUUUAGAGUUUUGUUGUUUAGUGCAGGAGAUGUUGUGUAAUUGUUGAAGCUGCCAUUGUGGUUUUUGUUGUAAAAAUUUCAUAGUUGGUUAUUCAAUUUAAGCUCUGCCUUUAUGUAUUUUUAAUUGUAGUUGGUCAAUUCACAUUAAUACUCUUUCAAUAGUAAAUAGAAACAUUUGUAUGAUUUAGUGUUUUGAUGUUUAAAGCAGAUAAGUGGUGUAUUUUUAAAGAUUUGGGUUGGUUGAUGAAAUCUGAGGUUAUGCAGAAAUCUGUGAUCUUGUGUUAUGUUAUGGACCAAAAGAGCUAGUUUGGAUUUAUAUUUUGAUCUGGAUUUUUUAUAAUUAGACAUUUCAAUGAGCAUGUCAAACUUGGUUUCAUACAAAUUGGAGUUAAAUUGGAUUUUUGGCAAAUUUUUAAAGUAGUUGUUAUGUUGCAGGAAGCAGAAAACUCUGUAGCUCAGUCUGUUUUGGAUUUUGUUUUUGACAUGCUUCCUUAACUUCGAAUGCCAUGAAAUUUUUAUGUGAUGAAGUUUUAUGUGUCUAGUUCUGAUCUGGAAAGUUUCGCACUAUUUUGACUCAAACUAGUUUUUUAGUGAAUUUCCCAAGUUGAAGUGUUCCUGCCCAAAUUGUUUAACAAAGUAUUUAUUUGGUCAUAUAUGAUUUACUGAAAACUACUUCAUACCCUUUUUGUUGAAUUAUCUUUUUGCUUAUCAAUGUUUGAAGACCAAAUUGAAGUGCCUAGAAAAUUAGGAAUGUCGGGCUAUGUGCUUAAGCAGACUCUGUGUCUUGGGCUUGAAAAUGUGAUAAAGAAAUAUCUUCAAGACUUCUACUUUUUCACUAGGAUCAUCCUCUGUUAGCUUGUGUUUUCACUUUUAAAGAAUUUUUCAUGUUAUUUUAUUUCAAUUAAAUCCUCUUUUUCUACAUUUAGAUCUCGUUUUAUUUCAAUUCUUCAUUGUAUUCUAGUGGAAACUGAAAAAAAAGUUGUUCAGUGUUUCUAUUUGCAUUGAAAACAUUAAAAACCAGUGAGUGAUUGCCUUAUUUGGGUUUGUGGUUCUCUUUAUCUUAUAAUGUGUUUAGAACAAUGUCAUUUAGGAGUCUAACUUUACUGAGGUAAUAUCUUGUUUUUGCAUGUCAAAUUAUUUGAGGAGGUGGAAGGAUUUGGUUUGUGGUUUUGGACAGAGGACCAUUUGAGGUAAGAACCUCUUCUUCUCAUUACACUCAGUUCCAUUUGUUUUCUUAUUAACAGCUAUAGUGGUUGUCAAUGUCAUUGUGGUGUUGUUUGUUUAAAGAUAUUAAAAUGACAUAUGUGUUUUGUAUUGUGUUGAGAAGUUUUGCAACCCAUGUUGGUUAAGGUGUGGAUUAUACUUUGGAUUUUAUGAUUUAUGUUUUCUAAUGGGUUUGUGCUAUGUAUGAUAUUAGUCUUUACAUUGGUUUUUCAUAAUUGUUUUCCUUCUUCAUUUGUGGUAUUUGUUAUUAUCACAAAGGUAUCCUCCUUCAUUUGUGGUAUUUCUUAUUAUCACAAAGGUAUGCUUUAGACAGUUGAUAUUGAGAGGUAUGAAAAAUGAAUUCAAAUUUUAUUAAGUUUGUUCAAAUACCAUUCUCAAACAUUCUUAAAUAUUGAUGAACAAUGAUCUUCUUUUUUUUUUUAUGUAGAUCCAAACUCUUUUUAAUGGCUUAUUUAGUUAAGAUUGUGAAUUUCAGCUUUUGGGCCAGAUUUCUUGUAAUUCUGUUGUCAAAAAUUGUUUGUUUUUGGUCUAUAUAUAGUUUUAUAUUUAAAUUUUCUUGGUUUUGGCAUCUUCUUGACUGUUGGCAUUUCAUUAUUUUGUUUCUUUUGUAAAGGAAGAUGAUUGAUGAGUUUGAGAAGAUCAAGCGACAAUUGGUAGAGUGUUUGGGAAUUCCACGAUAUUAAAUCACAGACUCACAGUCCCUAUCCACAGGUGUUAAAGAUCAUGACUACAAAACUUGGAAUUACAAAAGGCAAAUACAUGCAUCUUUUUUAGUCGAAACCCGGUCUUAGAGUGGGGAAAUUAUUACUACAGAACUUAGGUUUACCAAGGGCAAGAAUAUAUGGAGCUUGGCCUCCAGUCCUUGAGUGAAGACUAUUUUUGGAUAUGUUAUGUGUACUUGAAUAACUAGUAUGCUCUUGUGUACUUUUGAAUGAGAGAAACUUUUAUUCAUGUCAUUUUCUAUUGAUCUAUUUACCUAAAUUUAUUGUUUUCCGAAAUUACAAUAUGUUAAUGAAAAAAAGGUUAAUAUUAUAACAAAACAGAAUAUAAAUUAAAUAAUUAAAAACACUUAAAAUAUACAAAUUUUAGCGACCAACUCAGUAAGCUUUAGCGACGAAAUCAGGUAGUCACCGAAACCUAUCGGCGACGAACAACCUAUUUUGUUGCCCAAUCAUUCCUCAGUUCGCGGCAAAUUUUGGUAUUUUCGCGGGAACCCAUCUUUUUAGGCGACCAACUCUUACUGUAAAGGCGACGAAACAAAUUGGUCGCGUAAAGGUUUUGGCGACGAAAAUUUGUUUUCGUCGCCUUUUGUCUCCAGGUACUUUCAGCCACGAGCCUUAGGCGACCAAAUUGGCGACGAAAUAAUUUCGUCGCUAAAGGGUUUUGGCGACGAAAUAACAGCUUUUAGCGACCAAACAUGGUGGUCGCCAAAAGGGUUUUUCCUUGUAGUGUUUUUUCACUAGCCACUAUAUGUUUGUACCUACACUGACAACAAAUUGAUGCCACGGGGUCUCCUUGAUGCCUUUAAUUUAUGUAGAAGGUUACGAAUUUCCCUAAAGGAAUGUUCUUAUUUGUUGUCCAUAUAUCAUACGUCUGUCUACGAUCAAUGUGGCCUAUAUGUAAGUUAAAAAUGAGCAGAUAUUGUAAGGAUUUAUGACUUUAUAGCCUCGAUCUCUUGGAUCACAGAGGUCCAAGAGAUUGUGGUCACCCACCGUUAGAUGUUAAUCUAACGGUUCAAAAAAGUUUCUUAAAAGGAGUGCAAGAGUGAGUGAACCGUUGAAUUUACAUCCAACGGUGAGUGACCACAAAUCUCUUGGACCCCUGUAAUCCAAGAGAUCAGGACAGUAUAACUUUAAACAUUAUUUUUAUCAAUUCUAAAAUAUCCAUUUUCUCAUAUCGCUUGUAUAAAAAGGAAAAAAAAAAUACCGAUGAAAUUGUUUCUAACCCCAAACCAUGAGGUUCAAAGUGUAAUUGACAAAAAAAUUGAAUACACAAUAGAAAAAGAAAAGUCUUGAACCAAAAAAAAAAGGUUAACUGUUGAUACCACCUGAAUUUUGUACACUACUUUCAAUUUGCACCAUUAAUUUUUUUUUAUUACAGAAAAUUAAGUGCACAAACUAGUUUUUAUUGCCAAUUCCUCCUACCGUCAAAAUCAACAAUAUAUCAUCUAAUAGUCAGUCAAAUCAUUAAAAAAAAAAUUUGAAAAAAAUAAAGAAAAAGAGAAAAAAAAACGAAAAAGAAAAAAAAAAUAUCCUGGUCUGCCCACUCUCCACAUUUUUCUUCUUCUCCCAUAACCACCACCCUCCACUCCCACCCCACAGGCCCCCUCCUCCAAUCUCCCUCCUUCUGUUUUUUUCAACCCCGAACCCAGCUGCCCCGGGUCAAUAGCAAAUUGGAUGAAAUGUUGAGAUUUAGACGGCAAGGAGGAAUUGACAAUACAAAUAGUUAUUGUACUUAAUUUGUUGAAAAUUUAAUAUUAACUAAUAUUAAUUUUCUUAUUUGAAUGAAAAUUAAUAAAAUUCAUUGGGUUAAAGACAUGACCCUUGGGUUAAAGACAUCUUCAAAUUGGAGGGUGACAACUCUUCAAACCAAGGGAUGCAUUGUUUGGGGUGACAACUCUUCAGACCAAGGGAUGUAUUGUUUGCCUUUUCAAAUUCGGAUAUCUUUUUGGAAAUGGUAUUUCAUAAUCUAUAAGUAGAGCAAUCCUCUUGCAGUUUUAUUAAUUCAAUCAAUUCUCUACAUACAUACUUUCAUAUAUAUAGAGCAUUAGAGUUUUCAUAAAGAGAGGUUCCUGCAUAAAUUUGGUUCAAAGUUCCUUGUGAAUUGAAAUGCUUCUUUCAUAAGGAGGGGGGGUCAUUGUAUCCUAAGAGACAAACGCUAGUGAACCAUAAGCACCAGUGUGGGAAGUAAUUCCUCUUAAGGUCAGAGUGCAGGAACCAUUGAAGUGGUGGUAGUUUCAUGGCUAAUGGUUCAGUUGGGAUGCAGCAAUGCAGCCACUUAUAGGGUUGGAAAGUCUGGUGGCUAGAGCCUGGAGCUAUUUUUCAAAUGGCCCUUGAAAAUGUAAUUGAACGGGCCUAAAUCGUUUGUUUUUUUAAUAUAUUUAGUUUACAAAUCCCACGUGGGUUUCGUUGUAAUUUAGGUUCAUUUUUAAAAAAAAAAACAAAAUAAGCUACAACACAUGCAUGUGGUUAGUAAUUGUGGAAAUGGUGUCGGUUCAUGAUAUGGAGAUUUCCCACUAAGAUAUUGUACUAACCUAAUUCUAGACACGAGUAUAAAGUUGGGGCUGGAGGAAAGCGACUUAGGCAAGUCGGGUGCUCCACCUCUAUUAUAAGUAGGCUUCAAGCCUCGUCUCAUAUGAAUAAACCAUCGACGAAAGCAAUCAAGCAAGAAGCCCAAGAGCUAUAAAAGGCCAAUUAGACUGUUGUCUUAUAAACUCACGAGAAGGCCAAUAUCGUGUUCUAUAUCCACCAAGCCGUGUACUCUCUCCCCAUUCUAGUUCUUCUAUUAUAUCCAAGUGCUCAUUCAGAUUUCAGGUGCUUUUUUGGACACAUUUCAAGUGUUCAAAGAAAAAUAUUUUAAAUAAGUAAAAGUAUAAGCAUUCUUGAAAGAAUGCUAAUUUGUUUUAGGUGUUGAGAGCAUGUUCAAAUCAUAAAGCGGGUGUCCAAAGAAAUAAGAGUGGUGUUCAAAAGAGUUCUCUUCCUAGUCUAGUAACUGGUAUGGGUCAGGGCCAUUUUUUUCAUUUCCUUCAAAUAUGACCGGUCCUAGAACAAGGCGACAUUUUGACAACAAAAGGCAAUCAACAUACACGUGGCUUAUAUUGUUUCUAAUUAGCAUCAGGGCCGGUCUUGAGAUUUUGAAGGCCCUCGGAUACUUAUUAUUUCAGUUUGUGGUUGUGAAAAUAGAUGGGAUAUUGAAUGUUGGUGUUGACAUCGGACAAGCCUUUAACACAAGCAGGUUUUGAAGUCUGAGUCCUGAAUAGAAGUUGAGGCCCUACAAACCAACACAACUAGAAACGUCUUUGUGUCAACAAUUUGCUCACUCUGUAUAUAUAUAACAUUUGUUAUACAUAUAGAGUGCUGCUAUUUCCACCCACCUGUCCUAUUUUCUCACCCACUAUGUAAAUUUAAAAAAUUAAAAUCCUACUUUUCCACCCACCAUUAUUCCUAAAAUACCCUUUAAUUAUUAAUUCGACCAAACACCAUCAACUCCAAGUUAAAAACAUAAAAAUUUUAACCCCAAAAAAAAAAAAAAAAACCAUUCUUCAUCUUCUUCAUGUGUUUUCAACAUCACGACCUUACCCUACCAUAUUAAUAUUCUCAUCAACCCCUUAGCAGUACUGGUGGCUUCACGACCACGACAGCACCACCACAACAACAGACAACCAACAAGACUAUAAUGGAUUUUUAAUUGAAGUGAUGUUAUAUGGAAUAAGGACCCGUAUGUGGGUUAAUCAGACUAAAAAAUCUUUAAAAUGGAAUAAAAUUAAAGGACAAUUUGGCCUCUAUUAUCAACACCUACCAACCCUGACACAAUAUUAAAGGUGGAGUUGAGAAUUUGAUUUGACUUUUUUUUUUUAAAAAACUUUUCAAAGGAUUGGGAUGGGUAGAUCAAUGCUCGCUGAAUUUGUUGAGGUCAGGAAGAUUGAAAGAAUAUGGAGAGUAAAAGAAAAAAUUUAUUUUCUUUUUAAAAUUUGUUUUAUUUUUAGGGUUUUAGAAGUCAUUUUACAUAUGGAUAAAUUUGUCUUUAAAUUUUUUAAAAUAAGGUGGGUGGAAAAAUAUGACAGGUGGGUGAAAAUAGCAGCACUCUACGUAUAUUAUACACAUGAAAAAAAAUUAGGGGCCCUGUGCGGUGGCACCACUUGCACACCCUCAGAGCCACCCCUGCGAGAGUGCACCUGGUUUUUGUGGCUGGUAUUAAGUAGUACGCAUGUGUGCGAAGGUCCAAAAGAUCAGCGUAGUUUUUUCCCUCAAUUUUUUCAAAAUAGUAAUUAAUGCGUUCUAACGUCUAUCUACCUACAAAUUAAUACAUCAUUAAAUGGUCUCGACGAGAAAAACAAAGAAAAAAGGAUGUAAAACAUGUCGUAUAUGAAAAAUUUAUUUAUGUAAGCAGAUGCCAAACAUGUUAUAGGUCAGGUUACUCUGUACAAAGAAUACUAUUUUUUGAAGACGGCAUCAAUUUUUUUUGGUCUGAUGUCAUAUUGGGUUCGUGACCUUUUACCACGCAAUAAUGAUGAUGUUUUACUUAUAAAAAAAGAAAAGAAAAAAAGAGACACAUCUUGCAGUAUGCUUGCGUCCCAGUUUGGCAUUUUUAUGCUUUGAAAAUAAUCGAUGUCAGAUUUGUUGUGAGAGAAAUCAGCUGUGAGAGAAAGUAGUUUAGUGUUUGUUAAACUUUUUGUUAAAAGUGUUGUUGGUACUGAUUUCCGCAUAAUCAGAAAAUAAUUAUCACAUAAUUAUUAAAUCCAACACAUCUUCGAAACUGAUUCCUGCAUAAUCAGAAAAUGAAAACACCCAAUUAGCUGCUUUCUAUUAUAGCUUUCUCUCACAACAAUUUUUAACAAUAAGUGAUUUUCUCAUAGUUUUACCAAACGAGCUGAGUUUCCCAAAAUUUUUAAAAAAUCACUUAUUACACCAAAUAAGCAAUACCAAACGAACACUUAACUUUCAGUACGCUUGUGUUUCUUAUCCGGCAAUGAUAGGCAUGCAGGUCCAAACAAGGAGACAGCAUAGAUAUUUAUCCAAUUAUUUCACUAAAAUAAAUCUUUAUCCAAUUAAUAGCUUUGUGCUUUCACCAAAAAACAAAUAGUAAUCCCUUUCUUUCGAAAAAAGAAAAAAGCAAAAUAGUAAUUAAUGUGUUAUAUCCCAUCACUAACUUGUUCUUUGCAAGACCAAAAACUUCGUUAAUAAUUUCUACGUUCAAAAUUAUAUGGUCACAAGGAGAAAUACAUAGAAAAAAGGAUGUCAUCAUAGUUAAAAUAUAUAUGGGUUUGUGAGCUCUCGAUCAUAAGAGCACUUCCAUCCCUAUGAAUAAAGGCAAGGCAAGGGAAAUUAUUAUUUACUUUAAUUUAUUUUCUAUUUUUUAUACUUAAACGAUUAAUUUUGAUAAUAUUUUUGGUUGCCACGUGUCACUAUUUAUUAUAAAAUUCUCAUCUCAAAUUUCAGUUAAAAAUUUUAGAUAAAAUUUUAGGAUCAUAUUUUCGGAUAAGAUUUUCGGUUGCUACGUGUCCAUAUUUAUUAUAAAAUUCACAUCUCCAAUUUCAGAUAAAAUUUUCGAAUAAGAUUUUUAGUUGUCAUGUGUCCAUAUUUAUUAUAAAAUUCACAUCUCACUCGUUAUGCAACUGAAAUACCUACUCAUUCAUCAUACAAUUGAAAUAUUCCCGGUCCUCAUAGUCCAAUAUAAUCGAGUACAAGGACGACACAAUCAUUGGCGGAGGUGGUUCCACCAGAUCACAACGUGGGGGAGUAUUUUCCCUUGGAGGACGUAAUAGUGCCAUGAUUUCCUACACGAAAUGCACUACUAGAACUGAUUGCGGGCACUGUUCACUUGAGGAGUCAUGUGUAAUGGUUUUCGUCUUUUUUGUUUUGCCUUGAAUAACCUAUUAAAAAAAAUGAAACUUGAAAUGCCAAAAAAUAUCAACCAAAAAAAAAUAAAAAAAAUGACAUUACAUUGAAUAAAAUGGCAAAUAAUUUUUUUUUUUACCUCAUCUCCAAGAUUUUGACCGUUUCGAACGUUUGUCGAUGACCAUUUGGCUUCAAUGGAAGAGGCCAUUUGUAUUUUUACACAAAUGGAAUUUUGUAGUAGAAAAUUUGGUGUGGAAAAUGAAAAAUAUUGGAAUGAGAUGAAUGAAGAUUUGGUGUGGAAAGUGAAUAAUAUGUAAGGUAUUUAUAGAAAAAAAACAAAUCCAUAAUUUUUUGGUAUUUUUUUAUUCAAAAAAAUACAUCCGUUGUGUUAGUAUGAAAAUUAUAUUGUCAUUUCCUAGACUCUAGCAUAGGUUGGGAAUUUGUGUGUGAACAUGUUUUACUGGAAGCUUUGGCGCAACACAUUCAUUCUGGAUCUUUGAGGCAUGACUUGACCGAUAUGAGAAACUGAUUUCAGGUAACUCAUGACAUCAUCAUGCAUUCAUUAUAGGAUUCCUAAUUGGACUUAUUUUCACUUAAAGUAUUUUUAUCUUAAUCUUAUUUUUAAUAGGAUUAGAUUUUAUCUCUUAAUAUUACUUUCCUAGUUGAACUCUAUUUUGAUUUAGAUUAAAAAUAUUAUGUUUUCAUUAUCUUGGACUUGGAAAGUAUGUUUUAAUUAAUAUCCUAUUUGGUUCCGUGUUUACAUCUUGAUAUAUAUUGUUUCAUUGAAUAAACAAUUGAUUGGAGUGCAAUUGAGAAUAUGACGAAAUCAUAUAGGAUUCUAUGACCAUCAAAUUAAAUGCAUGGCAAGAUAUUGAGUUGUGGUUGUGGGUCCUCUAGUGGAUUGUGGAGAAUAAGUUUUGUAUAAAUCAUUGUGUGCAUCUCUUAGGUUUACUGGAGCUUUUGAUAUUUGUGUUGAGCAUAUAGAAUUCUUAAGCAAAAGCUGAUGUGCAUAUAUUUGAGAUAAAUCAUCAAGUGUUCUAUGUUUACUUGGUGAUUUAUCAAACACUUUAAUAAUUCAUAUUGCAUUCAUAUGCAUGUCGGUGACUCAUACGGUUGAGGGCACCAAGACCGUGGUGGCGGUUUUCCUCCGGUGAGCUUGAAGCAAUCGUGGCCAGAAUUGCGUUCAACAUAAGGAGUGUCGAAGAUCAUCUCGUGACAGAAGUUGAGUUAGGAAGAAGUCGGUAAACAUUAUCUAGAAUGAGUCUAGGAUAAGUGUGUGAGUACUUCUUGUAAUCAUCGUUCUAUAGUGGAUUUGAGUUGGACUGAGAAGUCCCGUGGAUUUUCCCCAGAGGUGGGGUUUUACCACGUAAAAUAAUUCUCUGCGUGUUCUUUUAUUUUAAGCUUUGCACAUCUCAGGAUUGAUAACUCAUAUCAAUCCUGCUUCAAAGGUUGAUCAUUAUUUAUUGCAAAAAUUCGAAUUAGCUUGUUUAACCUUCUCCAGGCAUAUAUAGAUAUCCUACAGGUAUUUUCACGUUGGAUUUCUCAAAAAUAUUUGAUCCGAGCGUCCAGGAAGUGCCACGUGGCUUCUUCUUGUUGGAGUGUGUCAGGGCUCACAUCAGACAGCAAAAAUCAAAUUUUUUUACCAUUGACACGUGGAAAAAAUGUUUCAAAAUCUUGGACUUUUUUAUACACAAAGUAGAAGAGCAAAAGUAAGACUAAAACAUAUGCAACAUAUGUGUUUAAUGAUGUAAACAAAUCAUUGCAGCAGAAUCCACAGUAAUGCCAUGGAUAUCUAUUACUGCAUAUAUGUAUACAUCGAAAAUCUCAUAGCUCGCUCAAGGGACCCAAACAAAGAAAAAAUUUAAAUAAAAAUAAAAACAAAAACAAGUAUGAUCAUGAGUCACGUUGACUAAAAAGCAAAAACAAGUGCGAAGGUCGAAAAGAUCAGCCUAGUUUUUUUCCGCAAUUUUUUCCUUUGUCCUUCUCCUUUCACCUAAAAAGCAAAUACUAAUCGCUUUCUUUCAAAAAAAACAAAAUAGUAAUUAAUGCGUUCAAACGUCUAUCUACCUACAAAUUAAUACAUCACUAAAUGAUCUCGACGAGAAAAACAAAGAAAAAAAGAAUGUAAAACAUGUCGUAUAUGAAAGCUUUAAUUAUGUAAGAAAAUGUCAAACAUGUUAUAGGUAAGGUUUGAAGACGUCAUCAAUUUUUUUUUGGUCUGAUGUCAUCUUGGGUUCGUGACCUUUAGGUCAUAAUAAACACUUCUAUAAUAAAAUCAACGCCAACAAGGAGGUUCCAAACUUCCCUCCCCUUGUCCAAGCUUGCCUCUACCACCCAUCCUUCGAUGUUUCUAUAUAUCAAAAAGAAAACAAUCCGUAUUACAUUAUCAGUCUCACAACAAUUGUUAAUUUUAUACGUACUGACUGAUUAUGUGUUAGAAUGUAAAUCUGAACUACCGUUUCUAAGAUGCAUUUUUGAAACCUAACAUUUUAAAUUUGUUUAGCCAUAUAACAUCUCAAUACAAUGUGGUACAUAUAAGAUUUUAUGCAUAACAAUUUUCUCAAUGAAUGUGAGACAUUUUUUAUUAUUAUGAAUAUUUAAAAUUGAAAAUAACCAAACAAAAAGUAGUAAAAAAUAAAGAUUUACAAUAAUACUAUAGAUCAACUCACUUGAUUGUCUGGAAUUCAUGAGAUGGACUUUAAGGAAUAUAUAUUUCUAUUAUGAAUAAUGCUACUCUUAUCAUAUUUGUAUACCAUAUUCCUACAUCAUUUUAUGUGGCAGUUGAGGUGGACAGCCACAUCAAUUAAAAUUAUUUAAUAUAUAUUUUUUUAAUGAUUUAUUCUAGUAUUUAUUUUUCUAAUUGUCUUAAUUAAAAUACACUUCAUUGAUUUAAUUGAUGUGACAUAUAAUAUGGACAUGCCACAUCAUGUGAUAUAAAAAUGUGGGAUAAAAAUGUGGUAAGUGUAGCAUUACUUUUCUAUUAUUUAUGAAAGAAUUUCCUUUUUGUUUGAGAACUGAAACGGGUAGAAAAAACCAAAAGAGUAGGGGCAACACUGACCAAAAAAUAACAGCUCCAAUAAGCGAUUAAAAAGAAAAAAAACAAAUGAAAAUUAUGAGGAGAGAGGAGAGAGAAUAUAUUACUUAUUAAUCAUGUUUAAGAUGGUCUUGAUUUCUUUUUCAAUGUCAUCCUAGCCAUUAAAACCUAUUUCAUCUUAGGGUUAAAAAAGUGUGUAACCCGCACUCAAAAUAGUGAAAGGGGGUACCAUGGAAAUUAUUGAUUUGGAAAUUCUACCUGCUAUGCACGAUUCUAUUGUUGCUUUGCAAUAAUCUUAUAUCCCAACAACACUUGCCUAUAUAUACAUGAGUCUACAAUCCAUGUUUUCCAUAGCAAAGCUCUAAGCAUAUAGAAAACAAAACAGUACUAAACAAAAAAAAUUAAAACAUGUCUAUCCAAGUUUGUGCAGCAGCUCAAUCACCAAAUGCCAAGCCUGAAAUUAUUCGGCGGACAGCAAACUUCCCACCAAGCAUUUGGGGUGAUCGGUUUCUCAAUUAUGAUUCCCAAGACAUUGUAAUCUCAUGCAAAUUAUCAUUAUAUUUCAUGUUAAUUUUUCUCAAAAAAAUAAUUUCACUCUUGUUUUGCUUAUUUAAUUAAUUACUGGCUGCAGAUAACAAAUGCCCGGAACCAACAAGAAGUUAACGAGCUGAAAGAAGUAGUGAGGAGGGAAGUAUUAACAACUAGUGCAGGUGACUUUUCACAUCAGCUCAAGUUGAUUGAUGCAAUCCAGCGCCUUGGCGUGGCAUACCAUUUUGAAAGUGAAAUUGAAGAAGCAUUGGAGCGUAGGCAUGCUGCAUUUCGUGACCAUGAUGGAGAUCUAUACAACGUUGCUCUUGGUUUCCGGCUACUAAGACAACAUGGAUAUAAGGUUUCAUGUGGUAAGUUAAUCAACAAAUUAUAAUGUAGUUGAGCGUACUGUGACUGAUUUUGGCCAACUAAUGCCUGUUCAUUUUUAUGUCAAUCAAGCAGAUGUGUUCAACAAGUUCAAAGACGAAAAUGGCAGCUUCAAGGAAUGCUUAAUUGCCGAUGUUCCGGGGAUGCUAAGCCUUUAUGAAGCCGGGCAUCUAGGCAUACGGGGAGAAGAAAUACUAGAUGAAGCUCUUGCUUUCACCACCACUCACCUUGAUUCUGCUGCAAAAGCUCAUGUAAGCUACGAACAUGCAGAACAAAUCACUCAAGCCUUGGAGAGACCUUUGCGAAAAGAUCUAGAAAGGGUAUGUGCCAGGCGUUACAUGUCAAUCUACCAAGAUGAAGCUUCACACAACGAAGCUUUGUUGAAACUUGCGAAGUUAGACUUCAAUCUUGUUCAGUCUUUGCACAAAAAGGAGCUCAGUGAGAUUACUAGGUAAGUCUCUCUUUUAAUUGUAAAUGCGAGCAUAUAUACUCAAGUAACACAUACAGCUAGUGUUAUUGCUUAUUAGGUGGUGGAAAGAAGUAGACUUUGAAAAGAAGCUGCCUUUCGCAAGAAAUAGGAUCGUGGAGUUGUACUUUUGGGUAGUCGGAGUAUACUUUGAACCCCAAAACGUCGAAGCAAGAAAAUUUCUUACAAAAGUGAUUGCGCUGGUAUCAGUGAUGGAUGAUAUCUACGACGCAUAUGCUACGUUUGAAGAACUUGAGAUCUUUACUGGAGCAAUUGAGAGGUACUACUUUGAAAUCAUAAUUUUCUUUUUAAUAAUUUAGAGCUGAUUUAUUGUAAUUGCAGAAAGUGCUCCUAAAUAAGCCAACUUACAAGGUUUAUCAAAUUUUCAGGUGGGAUAUGAGUUGCAUGGAUGAACUUCCAGACUAUAUGCAAAUAUUUUAUCGUACCCUUUUGACUGUUGUCGAUGAAAUUGAGGAAGAGAUUGCAAAGGAUGGAAGAUCGUACCGAGUUUAUUAUGCAAAGGAAUCUGUAUGUAUAUAAUAUAUAUACACUUUUGGUUAUAAUAUAUUUAAAUUAUUUUCUUCCACAUUAUGUAGCUAUAACGUUAUGUCCCCUCCAGUUGAAAGCUUUAGCCCGAGCUUACUUUGAGGAGGCCAGAUGGUUCAAUGAAGGAUACACCCCAACCAUGGAUGAGUAUCUACCUGCUGCAAUAGUUUCUAGUGGCUACCCCAUGCUUUCAACUGUAUCCUUACUUGGCAUGGGAGAUAUUGUAACAAAGGAGACAUUUGAGUGGCUGUUCAAUGACCAAAAAAUUGUUAGAGCUUCCGCGACCUUGUGCAGGUUCAUGGAUGAUAUUGUCUCAGGCCAGGUAUAAAAUAUUAUUGUCAUGCUAGAUUAGGUAAGCAUGUUUAAAAUGCAAAGUUUCACAUCGAAAAUUUGACAAAAUAAAAUACUAUAUAUAAUAAGUGGUUCCCCAACUAAUAGUAUCAUGGCCUUUGGUGAUAAAAACCCACACUAGACUUUGUUGGUGGUUAAGUUGGGAACAACAUCGGUGUUAGCAGUAGUAGUAAGAAUGACAUAUAGUAUUACCGAAUUAAUAUUUUGAAUUUCUGUACGCAGUUUGAGAAAGAGAGAGGCCAUGUUGCCUGUAGUAUUGAUUGCUACGUGAGGCAAUAUGGGGUGUCGGAGCAAGAGGCACUUGAUGCUUUGAACAAGCAAGUGGUGGAUCUGUGGAAGGACAUAAACGAGGAGUUUCUCAGACCAACUGCAGCGCCAAUGGCUGUCCUAAUGAGAGUUCUUAAUUUAACAAAAGUGAUAGAUCUCCUUUACAAAGGUGACGAUGGCUACACGCGUGUUGGUAAAGUGGUGAAGGAUAAGAUUGCUUCACAUUUUAUUGAUCCAGUGCCAAUUAUAUGAGUUUUCUAGAUCAUAGGAGGACUCUGUGUGGAGAACUAUGAUGCUUUUUCUAGAUCAUAGGAGGAUUUCUUUGACAAUACCUCCAUAGUGAUGGGAUGUGGUUUUAAGGGUUUUGUGGUUGAAUUUUAGGUUGGUUUGUUUCAUAUAAGUUGUUUGACUCUUUUGUUUAGUCAAUAACAUCGGUGGUACUCUUUCCUACCCUAGAUUUUGUUUAUCUAGAAAGGUUUUAAUGAGGCUACUGUUAAUAUACUAGUUCUCACCAUGUAAUGUUCCUUUCGGUUGAAUGAAAUACCAUCUUUUUGAUCAACCAAAAAAAAAAACAUCACAUAGUGGUAUGAUAGUUACACAGAAUAAUUUAUUCAUAAUAUGAUGAUUAAUAGUUUUUCUGUUACUUUACAUAAUGUCAACCACGGUUAUAUCCACCAAACCCUAGUUAAUUUCUAAUUAGCCAAGGAAAACAAAUAUUUCAAAAUCUUAGCCUUUUUUAUACAUAAAGUAGAAGAGCAAAAGUAAGACUAAAACAUAUGCAACAUAUGUGUUUAUUGUUGUAAACAAAUCAUUGUAGCAGAAUCCUCAGUAAUGCCAUGGAUAUCUAUUAAUGCAUGUAUGUAUAUUUGAAAUUGGUAAUUAGGUGAUGAUGGGUAAAUUUAAAGAUAUUCAAACAAGACACAAUAAACUUCACACACUUUAGACUUUGACAAAAUACUCUUAUGACUAGUCAACUGUCAAACAUGAAUUACCACAACCAAGAACAUACACAGAGCAUACGAAGAAAUAACUGCAAGCCUAGAGAAUUACUAGUAACAACCUAGGCACUCAGAAGGACCCGUCAAUCUAGGCAUUCCCUAUGCUACCGAUAACUAUGGUGAAAGUGUGUGAAGGCAUCAUAAUCAAAUAAACUGCACACAGUAGAUAGUGAUGACUAGUCAACCGCAAGAACACAAACCCAGAAAUACAUGAACAUCAUGCGAUGACUAGUCAACUAUUAAGAACACAUCAUAAUCAAAUAAACAGCACACAACAUAUAGUGAUGACUAGUCAACCGCAAGAACACAAACCCAGAAAUACAAGAACAUCAUGCGAUGACUAGUCAACUAUCAAGAACACAAAUCCAGAAAAUUACAAAGUUGCAAACUAGAAAUUGUUCACUUAGAAAUGCACCAUUGGAAAAAACUGGGGGUCAUCAACUGACCAGGCAAUCUACUAAGCAAAGAAGAUUCUUACAAAGAAACACAAGCAAGCUCAAGAAAUCCUAGAUCUGUUUAGGAAGAUAAGCUAUACCUCCUUUAUGUAAUCUUCUUCUCCAACUUAGAAAAACCAGCAACUUAGUCCUUCAUGGCAAUGACAGCUUCUUCUUCAGCUUUUUCAUCUCAUGGCACCAGCUAGCCAGCUCAAACUCAGAUAGAAACCAAAAUUUGGAUUCAAGGAAGAAUGACCAAUUUCUUCAAGAAACCAUACUCUUCAAGAUCCUGCAAUCCGAUACUCUCCAAUUUAUUCCCUUUCUCCCCUGAAUUGGAGAGGAGGGAGAAACAUAAUACGGUACCUCUUCAUGAAAAGUCACAUCCAAAGUAACAUGCAUCUUCUGAGUAGAAGGAUGAUAGCAUUUAUAACCCUUCUGAGUAGUAGAACAACCAAUGAAGAUACAGCGGAGAGUGCAUGGAUCCAGUUUAAUCUGUUGAUGAUAGUAGACAUGAACAUAGGCAACACACCCAAACACCUUGGGAGGCAACUUAGAGACAGAGACCGGAGAAGUAUGGGUACACAAUACAUCGAGCGGAGUCAUGAAAUCAAGAACCCGACUAAGAGUACGGUUAAUCAGAUAGGUUGCUCCCAAAACACUAUGGCGCUAAAGAUAAUGGGGAACAGACAUGUCCAAUAGAAGGGAGCGGCCAAUUUCAAGUAAGUGACGAUUCUUGCGUUCAGACACACCAUUCUGCUGAGGAGUGAAUGGAGUAGUAGUUUGGUGGAUAAUGCCUUGAUUAAGAAAAAAAUGGGUCAAGGGAUUAUUCACAUAUUCACCUCCAUUAUCAGUCCGAAACACUUUGACUCGAUCAUGAAACUGAGUAGACACUAUGGCACAAAAUUUAGGAAGAAUAGAAGCAACAUCAUGUUUAUUCUUCAUCAAAUACACCUAUGUUAGGCGAGUGCAGUCAUCAAUAAAAGUAACAAACCAACGAAAACCAUUAGAAGUCACACAAGCAGGUCCCCAUACAACCGAAUGUACUAAAUCAAAAGGUUUUGCAGCUUUACUGUCACUCAAAGGAAACACAGUGCGAUGGCUCUUGGCCAAAAUACAUGUCUCACACUUAAAACUGGACUCAUCACAAGAGCAUAAUAAAGAUGGAAACAGACGUUUAAGGUAGUCGAACAACGAGUGUCCCAAGCGAUGAUGCCAUAACCAAAUUUGUUGUUUGCUCUUGACACUGCAACUUUGAAUAGUAUGAACGACAUGAUCACGAAUUGGUGCAGAAGGCAAUAUGAAAUUGGUACUUAGGUGACGAGGGGUAAACUUAAAAGAUAUUCAACCAAGAACGCAACAAACUUCACACACUCUAAACCUUGACCAAAUACUCUUAUGACUAGUCAACUGUCAGAUAUGAAUGAUACCAAAUACUAACAUACACAGAGCAUACCAAGAUGUACCUGCAAGCCUAGAGAAUUACUAGUGACAACCUAGGCACUCAGAAGGACCCGUCAAUCUAGGCAUCCCCUGUACUAGCAACAACUAUGGUGAAAGUGUGUGAAGACAACAUAAUCAAGCAAACACCAAAGAAAGUGUGUGAAGACAACAUAAUCAAGCAAACACCAAAGAGCAAAUAAUGAUGACUAGUCAACUACAAGGAUACAAACCCAGAAUUCAUAUGAUGACUAGUCAACUACAAGGAUACAAACCCAGAAUUCAUAUGAUGACUAGUCAACCACUAAGAACACAAACCCAGAAUUCAUAUGAUGACUAGUCAACCACAAUUCAUACGAUGACUAGUCAACCACCAAGAACACAAACCCAGAAUUCAUAUGAUGACUAGUCAACCACCAAGAACACAAACCCAUAAAAAUUAUAGAGAUGCAAACAGAAAUUGUUCACCCAGAAACCCACCAUUGGGAAAAACUGGGGGUCAUCAACAGACCGGGCAAUCCACUAAGUAGAAAAAGAUUCUUACAAAGGAACACAAGCAAGCUCAAGAAAAACUUAGAUCUAUUUAGGAAGAUGAGCUAUACCUCCUCUGUGCAAUCUUCUUCUCCAACUUAGCAAAGCUUGAAGCUCAGUUCUUCAUGGCAAUGACAGCUCCUUCUCCAGCUCACUCAUCCCAUGGCACCAGCUUGCAAGCUCUAACUCAAACAGAAACCAAAAUUUGGAUUCAAAUGAGAAUGACCAAUUUCUUCAAGAAACCAUACUCUUAAAGAAAUCAAUCUUGAAUCUGACCUAGAUAUAAAUGAGAGAGUGUUUUAAGUAGCUAGAUGCAGAUUAGUAUUUCAAAUGCAGUUUUUCGAAAAGAAAUCAAUUUGGAAAAACUCAUAGAUGAAAAUAUUGUUCUCUCUUGAGGAAGAAGAACAGAAAGAUGGCAAGCCAACCUUUCCUAAAAAUCCACACAAAAGAGACGGCUUCCCAAAGAGGAAUUCCUUAGCCUUUACAGACAAAAAUUCCCUUAAGUCAGAAUCACAUGCAGUAGCAGAGAGAGAAAAGAGAAUAGGACAAAAAAGUUGGUUAUCCAAGCUGGAAAUCCUACAAAGCAAGGAUGACUAGUCAUACAAGAAAUAGAUGACUAGUCAUCAUUUUAUGAAAACAGUUUAAUGCAACGUUAUGCAAUGCCCAAUUUGCUUGAACCUCCAUAGGAUAGUUGUUAGUUAAGAACACCUAGAGAAGCUAUUCUCAAUCUAAACUUGAGCUUGAUAAAUAACAAUAGAAAUGCUAUUACAGAGUUGUCAAGGGAAGCCAAAAGAAAAACUCAAAAUGCAUACAUUAACACAAUGUCAAAUAAUAUAACCCCCCUAUCCGUUUACCAUGCCCAAUCGUCUCGCAAGUCUUGAGAUUCUGAAAAGAGCAAUGUGUAGGAUAGAAAGUAGCAGAAGCAUUCAGUGUAUUAAGUAAUCAGCCAACAGACAAUAAGUUACAAUGGAUAUUAGGAACGAGUAACGCACGAGACAAGGACAAAGUAGGAGUGAGAGAGAUUGUGCCCUCGCCAGUAAUUGGAGAGGGCAAGCCAUUAGCACUAGUUAUGUAUGGGUCACGGGUGUUACUAGACAAGGAGAGAGGGCAUGUUGCUUCUAGUAUUGAUUCAUACAAAGCAACAUGGAGUGUCAGAGCAAGAGACACUUGAUGGUUUCAACAAACAAGUUGUGGAUUUGUGGAAGGAUAUAAACGAGGAGCUCCUCAUAAAGCCAACUGUUGUGGCAAGGCCUGUCCUCAUGCGCGUUCUGAAUUUAACAAGAGUUGUGGAUCUGCUUUACAAAAGGGGAGAUGCCUUCACACAUGUUGGAAAACUUAUGAAAGAUAUUGUUGCUUCACUUUUUAUUGAUCCUGUGUUACUUUAAGUUGGAUUCCUUGUUAACUUUGUAAUUUCUAACUACCUCAAUAAUCACAAAAAAUGCAAGGAAUUCGUACCUCAAGUGGUUAAAAGCAUUUAUCCUUACAUCUCCUAUGUUCGAUUCCCUAUUCUUCCAAUAUCUCUUGUAUAAAUAAAUAAAUAAAUAAUCACAUAAAAAUGUCACAUUUACUUAUUUAUUCUAGAUCACUAAAGUUCAAACGCUCUUAAGUUUGGGCCAAAAAAUAUUUGUCCUCUUCAAAAAAGGUCAUCAUCCCCAUGGAGAAUACUUUCUUUGGUUCAAGAUAUACGAACUCUUUGUCAAUAUAUUCAAGUUUCAACAUGUCUACUGGGAAGCAAACUUCGUAGCAUAUCUUUUGGAAAUGCUAGGCCAUGAUCAGACCAACCUUCCAUUUGGUUUUCUAAUUUCCUUUUUCGUUGUUUGUAAAGUUUUAUAUGAUCUCCGGAGUUUAGGAAUCCAAUGCGGAUUCUCAUUGUAACUUCAUUUGACGUAAAAAAGCACACAAUGUGGGUUGUCUAAUGUUGUUAUGGGCGCUAGAUUUGUUCACUGAACUUGUCACGAUCCCAUAAUUUUUCAGAGCGAGGAACUGAUAUAAAAGGAGGAACAAUCUCACCUUUUUUUUCUUCUCAUAUGAAUGAUUAAUAAAAGAUGAUUUGUUUAUCCAUUGUAGUUUUGGAGGGAGGAGAUGAGUUCUAUCAACUGUUGAGUGAGGGACAAAUUUCAAGUGUCCAAAGAAAAAUAUUUUAAAUAAGUAAAAGGAUGAGCAUUCUUGAAAGAAUACUAAUUUGUUUUAGGUGUUCAUAGCAUGUUUUAUUUUUGGUCAAUAAGUUCAGAGCAUGUUCAAAUCAUAAAGUGGGUCUCCAAAGAAAUAAGAGUGGUGUUCAUAAAAUAAUAAACAAAUCAGAGCGUGUUCAAAUUGUAAACAGAAUCCCUCUAAACCUAAUUAGCCAUAAGACCAUCUCCAACCAUAAAAAUGACUAAACUUAAAUUUUCACUCCCAAAAUACAACUAUUCAUGUAUUGUUUGGACUCAAAUAGUUUUUUUCUCCAAUCUUGUAGGACUCAAAAUUUGAGUCCGAUGCUUUAUUAAUUGUUUAAUAAUGGUUUACCUCUACGAAUUUUUUGUGUUUAAUUUUGGUUUAUACCAUUGUGCUUUUGUUUUUAUCACAAAUAAAAUAAUAAUAAACUAAAAUAACUAGUUUUGAGUUUUAGCUCCUAUCCCUCACCACCACUAGAGUCAUAAAAAAUUGAGAAAUAGCUUAAAAUGACACCCAUUUUAUAAUUUUAAUUAAAAAUACCACUCCUUCCCAAUUUUUGUACAACUAUCACCUAUAAAUAUAAAAUUAUUGUCCACUUAUUGCUGAUUUUUCACAAGUUCAGAAAUUUUGUUCUCUCUUAGCUCACACAGCUCACUCUUUCUCUGUGGCACAGCUCUCUUUCUCUUUGGUAUCUGUCUAUCAUAGCUCUCUAUGUCUCUCUUGGCUCUCUCUAUCUUGGCUCUCUCUCUCUCUCUAGCACAACUCUCUGUCUCUCUCUUUGCUCUCUUUCUCAUAGCGCAGCUGUUUCUCUCUCUAGCUUCGUUAUGUCUCUUUCUCCCCUAUUCGAUGUCUUGCUCUCUGUUUGGAAUCACGAACCCCUCCCUUUAGCUAUGUCUUCUGAAUAGCUGCUUGCAACCUUGAAGCUCUAGUGGAUUGCCGACCUCGAAAAGGUAGUGUUGAUGGUUAUUUUCUUAAUAUAAGUGGGAUUAUGUGAAAUGGGUUAUAGUUUGAUUGUUUGGGUUUGUGUUAAAUUCGUUUUGGCUUUAAUUUCUUUGGGUUAGGUUUUGUUGAAUAUUCAUGCUCAUUGAUCUGGGUUUGUACCAAUUGCAUUUAGAUUGGUCUGGAUAUGUGAAUCUUGAAACUUGGAAUUUUCCAUUUGAUGUAGUAGAUCUGUAUAGUGUGAUUCUGAUGUGUUACUGGUGUACUGCUGUUGUGUUCCUCUUAUUUUACAGUCGUAUUGCUGUUAUAUUGCUUAUAUAUUGCUGCUAUAUUGCUCUUAUAUUGUGGUUAUAUUGCUAUUGUAUUGUAUGGUUAUUGUGGUUAUAUUGUGUUAAUGAAAUGUUGUUUUGUCAUGGUCAGAAAUGGAGACAAUUGUUAUUCUCGUGUGCUACAAUGAAAAAUGGGUCACCUCGAAGAAGAUGUGCAAAUACAAAGGGGGUGACUCAAAAGGCUUAAUAGUUCCACGGACCAUCAAAUUUGCUGAACUGUUGGACCGUGUGCAUCAGAUUGGUAAUACAAACAGCAAGGAAGACAAGGUUUGCUUAAAAUUCUCAAUUUUGGUGGCCUCGAAUGAGUGGAAGCACAUAAAGAUUGAGGACGAUGAUGAUGUCAAUUUUUUUAUGAAGUACAAUUCCGAGGUAACACCUUCAAAACUAGCUCCCUUACUCGUGAGUAUAGAAGAUAGAGGACUGACAAAUGAUGUAGUUCAUAGUAUGCAUAUCACGACAGAUAGUAGUCGGAUGGGUCAUUCUUCAGUUGCCAUUGUUGAAAGCAAUGAAGUAACUUGGAAUAAUACAAAUGUCACUGAUGUGGGAGGUGAAGUAGGGACAGAUUUUAUGGAUAUGAUUGAUUUUAGCGAGGUGAAGGAGAUGCAUGUGGUGAUAAUGGUACUGAAAGAAAUGAAGUGUCAGUGUACUCUACCCUUCAUAAUUUGGGCUGCUUGAACACAGCUGCCCAGUUGCCAAUAAUGCAUUUAGGAGGAGAAUCUGAACCCACUCGUCAACAUUAUUGGAGUCAAAUGGGUGAACAAAAUCGGUACAAUGCAGCCGAUGUAAAUGAUGAAGAAGCAUAUUUGGAUAGCGGGUUUUCACGAAGUGAUUGGAAUCCGAAAAUUACAGUUGGGCAAAUUUCCUCUAGUAAGAAAGCAUUGUUGACGGAGUUACGGUUGACGACAUUAAGAGGCCACUUUGAAUUUGAGGUGCAAUUCUCUUGCACUAAGAGGCUGCUUGUGCUUUGUUGUCAACGUCCAUGCCCAUGGCGGGUCCGAGCAUCGAGAAUUGGAGAAUACAGCUUCAUGAUUGUGAGGUUUACAACUGUCCAUGAAUGUGAUUUGAGGUUCUUAAGUGACAAGCAUCGUCAAGCAACCGCAGCACUUGUAGCCACUUCACUUAAAAGGAAGUUGAAGGAUUCUCGGACAAUAUACACACCAAGUGACAUUAUGAGAGAUGUGAAACACAACUUUGGUUGCACCAUCCAUUAUUCGAAAGCUUGGAAAGCAAGGGAGUUAGCUCUAUUGUCCAUUAGAGGAUCAGCGGAGGAGGCAUAUUAUAUCCUUCCAGCUUAUUGCUAUGAAUUGGAGCGUAUGAAUCUCGGCACAAAAACACACAUCCAAACUGAUGAGAACAAUCACUUUGUGUAUUUAUUUAUGGCGGUUGGCUCAUGUAUUAGAGGGUUCCGUUCUUCCAUGCGCCCAGUGAUAGCCGUGGAUGCCGCUCAUUUAAAAUCCAAGUACAAGGGUGUUAUGUUUGUAGCAAAUGCAUUCGAUGGUAAUCGAAAUAUAUAUCCUCUUGCUUUUGGGAUCGGGGAUUUGGAGACGGAUGCAUCAUGGCAUUGGUUUUUCACUAAACUUCAUGAAGCCAUUGGUGAGUGUCCCAAUCUUGUUAUUAUUUAUGAUCGCAAUGUUAGCAUAGAGAAUGUGUGGAACAAAAUUUUUCCAACUGCACAACAUGGCAUAUGCUUUUAUCAUAUGAAGGGGAACAUGAAACGCACUUGCAAGUUGAAAAAGCGCGAUCACAUACUUAUGCACUUUGAGCAGGUUGCGAAAUCUUAUUCCAUUGUUGAAUUUGAUUGUCAUUUUCGCAAGAUCAAGUGAAAGGAACAUGUUGCUCAAUAUCUUGAAGAGGCAGGGUUACAUAAGUGGUCUAGAGCUCACAUGGAUGGACGCCGCUACAAUGUAAUGACAACAAAUAUUGCGAAGUCAAUCAACUCAGUCCUUAGGUUUGCAAGGAUGCUACCAGUGGUUCAUUUGAUAGGGGAAAUUGUUAAUCUCCUUGUGAAAUGGUUCACCGAACGUCGUGAGUUGGCUUUGAAUUGCACAACAACAUUGUGCCCCAAUUUUGGAGAGAAGAAGUUGAGGAACAGGUUGGAGGAUGCUGCAAGGAUGAAUGUGGUUAAAGUAAAUAAUGCAUAGUUUAAUGUUUUGGACAGUGAUAUGGACGGCCUCGUAGAUUUGACGAACAACAGUUGUAGUUGUAGAAAGUUUCAGCUUGAGCAGCUACCUUGCAAGCAUGUAGUUGCAGUUUGCCGCUUCUUGAAAGUAAAUGUAUACGCAAAGGCUUCUCGGUAUUACACUCAAAAAACCUGGAUGGAUGCUUAUUCGGAUAGCAUCUACCCGGUACAACCUCAUGGAAUAUGGGAUAUUCCUGAAGAUGUUCGAAGUCGAGUUGUGCUACCUCCCAUGGCAAGGGUCAUGCCAGGCAGAUGAAAGAAAAUAAGAAUUCCCUCGCAAGGAGAGGGCACCAUUAGAAGAAAGUGCUCAAGGUGUGGUUCCGCAGGCCACAAUAAAAGCACCUGUAAAAACAAUAUUCCAUUGCGCAAUGUAUCUUAGACAAUAUGAUUUGUGUUGCUUUGGUAGGUCAUGUAAACUCUACUUUUAUUUGUGGUGGGUUUCGUGUUAUGUUGAAUGGGAAUUCUUUUAAAUUUGCAUAAUUUGGGUUGCAUUGCUACAGCAUGCUGUAUUGCUGACAGAUUGCUAUUAUAUUGAACUUUUAUUGUACUGGUAUUGCUUCCAGAUUGCUAUUAUAAUUUGAGUGUGAAAUUAAAGGGACUAGAAUGUAAUUCCAAAUGGAUCCAAAACAUUAAAGUUCUUAGAAUUCCUAUAUUACACAGUUACUGUGAUACUUCGACUAUACCUUCUUUUCUUAUUACAAAUUCGGCCGAUGCAUAGGCCAGAUGUGGGGCAAAUACAAGGUGAAAUGUCCUAUGUGUUUGACUACAUAUACUUGUUGAAGGAGCAUUACGAAUGUUAACCUCAAUAGAUUGCUCAUGUCUUGCCAAGAACACUCUUGAAUUUAUGCAAUGUGCCCAAGCCAGUCCCAAAGUUGGACUCACUCGUCUGCCUGAUGUGUCCAGGGACUCCAAGUUUCCCAACCUCACCCCAUUCACUUUAUCAUGUGGCCCAAUAAAAUCCACCACUUGGUUGGUGACAACCACCGCCAACCCAAACUUAUUUGCUAAACCCUUCAAUGUCCCAGAUAUGUUGAAGAACAUUUCAGACUGCCGUUUCAAAUUUGCCGGUGUUGUCUGAUACUGUGAUCGGAACAAUGCAGCAAUGGAAUCAAUGACAAUGAGUUUCACAGGUAGGCGGGUGUGAUCAAUGGCAAUAAAUGCUUCUAUGUCUCCAAGGACAUGGAUGAGUUGUUGAGCAUCAUGAACACCAUGAACAUAUAUGUCUUCCAAUGGCUCCAACCUUAUUAAGUUGGGGUAUGAUGCAUGAUAAAGGUUGCCUAGUUGUUGCAAUCGACGAAAUGGGAAGCUGAAUUCUGUGAAUAUGUAGACGGAGGAGCCCCCUAGUCCGCCAUGUCAGGGUGGGAACUGAGCUCGUACCGUAAGUUGGAGACAAAGCUGCGUCUUCCCGGAACCACUCUCCCCUACCAAUUCUGUUAUGGAGUUGCAGGGUAUCCCACCCCCCAAGCAGUCAUCUAGUAUUGGGCAUCCAAUGGAUAAUUUAGGAGUUGAAAGAGGAAGGAGCAUGAGGUUUUGGGGUGUCAUGUUUGUAUAAUUUAGUGGGGGAUGUGAUGGUGCUACAAGGCAUGCGUUAUAUAUAUAUAGAGUUCAUUUUGAAGGUCUGUACUGUAGGCCAUAUGUCUUUUAAGGGAUGUAUAAUUCAUUCUUUUUCCAGGUUGUAAUUACUUUUUUGUUUAUUUAUUAGUAUUUUUUUGGACCAAAUAAUUUAAAAAACAUUCUGAUGCAGUACGUACUAUAAUAGGAUCAUAUUGUAACUCUAUCAUCACUCUAUUGUACUCUUAUUGACAUAAUAUUGCCAUUAUUCGCAUGUUUAUUGUAUAGUUAUUGCUGCUAUAUCGCCACUGAACUGGACAACAACAGGCCACCCCAUCGUUACAUAAUACAAAAAUACGCCACCUCAUAGUUCCAUUUCCCUGCUGUUGAUAAAUUCGAAGUUGCAUACUCUUCAAUUGCGGUGACCGCGACCCAUGAAAUUCAUGACCCCGGCCACAGUGAUGUUGGCCCAGUUUCCUGCCGAAUCCACUAUUUUUGCAAACUUACGAAAUAGUUCGAAUCCGCUUUCCACUUCUUCUUGCUUCAACUUGGCCAUUGCUUCUGAUUCCUUGAAUACCAUAAUUGCAGUGGCAGGGGCAAUUUCAAUUUUUGCUUUCAUUGUCUUUAUAUGUAGGAGAUGCAUGCGCGCAUGAUAACGAGAGCGAAUUGUGCGGUUUUUUAUGACACCCCAUCUAGCUUGGCCCUCCACAAUUUUUGAAACUAUGUCUGCAUGAAGGUUUUUCUAAAACAUGGUAUUGCCUCGACAUUGCUGCAUGCCAUGGACCAAGUCUGCAGGGAGUGAAUUGGGUGACUUAGCUUGUGUUUCAAUCUCCCCUCCUUCAGUAAUUGAAAGCGUUGGGUUUGGUGUGAGGUUAUGGUCCAUGGUCUUCGAUAUUUAUUGUAGCCUGGUGUACAACUUAAUUGGAAAAAAAGGGGACUAAAUGCGAUGUGAGUGAAAUCAGUGGGGAAGGUAAUGGCUGUAAGCAGGAGUUAAUGUGAUGGAAGUUUUCAUUUCAAACAGCUGGAUUGAUUAAUAUAGGCAGGUUUUAAUGACCUAGAGUAACUCAAAGAGUUAUUGGCAGGAGGGAUUAGGGGGGGCAAUUGGCAGGAGGGAUUGGCGGGAGUCUUAGGCGGGAUAGUAUUUGGCGGGAGUUAUUACCCAGUUGACUGUAUGCCUUUUUGUAAUAUAUUUGUAUGUUGGACGUUCUGAACUUGGUAAUUUUCCCAUUAUGUAAUUCAAAUAAGGGAUUUGCCUAUUUGCCUAAUUGACCAACUCAUUCAAAUUGACCAAUAUGGUUAUUGUCUUAUUUCUCAUUUCAGCAAUCUCAAUUCGUUUCCAUUUUUCCAUUAUUCAUAUUUUCCUAUUUUCCAUGUGUCAUCCAAUUUUCCAAUUUUCCAAUUUUUCAUUAUUUUUGCCUAUUUUUUCCUAUUCCCUAUUUUCCUAUUGUGCAAUUUCCCAAGUUUCCUUUUGUUCUAUUUCCAGUUUUCCAAUUUUUCAAUGUUCCCAUUUUCCCAUUAUGUAAUUAAAAAAAGUUGCCUACUUUGCCUAAUUCAGAAAGUAAUUAAAAUUGUCCAAUAUGGUAAUUGUCUUAUUUCCCAUUUCCACAAUUUCAAUUCGUUUCCAAUUUUCUUAUUUUCCAUGUGUCCCUGUUUCCUAUUUCCAUUUUUCAAAUUUUAAGUUUUUGUCCAAUUAUCCAAUAUUCUUUUUUCCAAUUGGACUAUUUUCUAAGUUUCCUUUUUUUCCUAUUUCCAAUUUUCCAAUUUUUCAAUUUGCUAACUUUCCUUUUGUUCUAUUUCCAAUUUUGCUAUUUUCCAAGUUGCCUUAUUUCCUAUUUUUCAAUUAUCCAGUUAUCCAAUAUUCCAAUUUUCCAAUUAUCCAAUUUUCAAUUUUCCAAUUUGCGAAUUUGCCUAUCUUCCAAGUGUCCUUUUUUCCUAUUUUCUAUUUCGAAUUUUCGAAUUUUCAUGUUUUCAGAGUUUUCGUUUUUUCCUUUUUCCUAUUUUCCUAUUUUCCAAGUUUCCUUUUGUCCAAUUUUAAAUUUUCCAAUUUUCCAAUUACCCAAAUUUCCUAUUUCCAAUUUCCAAAUUUCCUAUUUUCCAAGUGUCCUUUUUUCCUUUUUCCAAUUUUUCAAUUUUUCAAGUGUCAUUUUAUCCUAUUGCCUAGUUUCCUCUUUCCAAUUUUUCCUUUUUUCCUAUUUCCAAUUUUUCAAUUUUCCAAAUUUCCAACUUUCCAUUUUUUUGUAUUUCCGAUUUUCCAAUUUUCCUUUUGUUCUAUUUCCAAUUUUCCAAUUUUCCAAUUUUCCAAUUUUCCAAUUUUCCAAUUUUCUGUUCUGAAAUUCGCAAUAAAUGCUUAGUUACAUAGUCCUAUUUUGGGUUGAAAUCCACAAUUUCCAAUUCCCAUUAAGGUUUGCUUUUUUGUCGUUUGGAAGCCAAUUUUAUUAUUGUUAAUGUAAUGUUGUACUGCUGUAAAUUACAGCCAAGGAGUUAAUGGUGUAGUUUGCAAUCCCAUCAAUUGAAUGCACCAACUAAAUACCCAAUAUACUUCAUAUCAGUUCGUACAUAUAACUGAACCUUCCUAUAUAGAACUGCAACAGAGCCACCUUCUUAACGGGAAAGGUAAUUAGUCUUACUGAAACGCAAAUAUUUUCCACUAAAGCUAACCAUAUUGUCGUUUACAACUGGAGACUGAAUGUACCUUUAUUUGUUUUGUUGCAGGUAACAGCUGUGAAUUAUCCCCAGCAAUACUUAAAGAUGUCGGAUGUACGCCCUCCAAACGAGCAUGUCAGUUACCCGGGGGACCAGCCGUGGCAUGUGCCAUUCCCAUCUCCACCUCGGACUCUCAAUCAUGAUCCCACUUCAUCUGGAAGUGAGGCUGAGAGCAAUGAUCCGAUUGACAAAAUCUCUGCCGUCAAGCACCACCUCCAAUAUAUGUCAAAGGCAACGGAUUGGUGGGAGAGUAAGUGCGAUAUUCAUGGCCAAGUUAUGGGAAACUUGGCCAACAAGUUGAACAAAGCAUACGCUGGAGAGGUGAAGCAAACUAUAAAAGCAAAAAGUUGGAGCAAAGAGUUAGAGUCCUUGAAGUUGAAACUGGAAGAGAGAAAGAAAAAUGCCAUCGAAAAAUUCACACAAUCUGAAGAAUAUAACCAUGAAAUGGUUGAAUGUUUCAACAAUGACUUCGAAAUGUUCCGAGAUUAUGCUUCGGUCAUCUCACCAGACUACAAUUGGAGUGAAAUUGAUGUAGCAGGUGUCUGGCAGGUGCUGAAUAUGGGUGUUGAGGGAAUGGCUCAUCAUAGCCUUGUGCAUGCAGCGAGGAGAAAGGACAAAGACAUGGAUCUUUUGAUGGACCUGUAGUAACGGUGAGUGCUGCUUCAGUUCAUCUCACCCGAGUACAUGGAUCUUUUGUUGCCUUCAUUUUUCCUUCGCGGGAUAGUAUUGUUAAGGUUCGGUGGCGAUUUCUUUUGCAUGUGUAAAAUGUUGUCUGUAAUGUGUAUGUAUUGUAUGUAGAUUGACUUAAUAUUGUAGUUCUAUUGCAUUUAUAUUGCCUUAAUAUUGCCUUUGUAUUGCAUAGAUAGUGUAUGCAUAUUGCCACCUAUUGGAUGUAUAUUGUAAAACUAUUGCUAUCGUAUUGCCCUUAUAUUGCUCUAAUAUUGCCCCUAUAGUGCACCUAUAUUGACCUAAUAUUUCUCUUAUAUCGUAUGUCAAUGGCAUAUGCUCUAAUAAGUCUCCACUUCGUUGAAAGUAAUCUUGAAUUCAAAUAUGACGGACACGACAAUUGUUAUCCAUCCUUAUAUUACCAUGAAUUGAUUUGGACCUUUCAAAUGAUAGUUGGAGUUGCACAUGGAUUCAUAUUCAAAAGGAAAGUAAUUCUCUUCCUCAAUGAAUUGUCGUUCAAAAGAAGGCAGCUAUCAAAUAUUGGGUACAAAAAUGCAACAUCCACGGUAAAUUAAUUGGGCACAAACCACAUAUUACAAAACCAGGAUGAUUUUUGGCAUGCUUGAAAAGAGAAGGGCCAAAUACAAUAGAAAAGAAAAUCCAUUCAAGCUUGUACAAUGGAAUGCACAAUAACCCUUUUACAUGUCCUUCCAACACUAGUGUUUUGCCUACUUUAGAGUCGCAGGAGGAGAGCAUAUUGCCAUUGUGCAAUUCGAGGGGGCAGUCAAUUUGGAAUGGUGGCAUAAACAUGUUUACUCCACGGAUCACCUCUAUGGGACAGAGCUUCCUUCUUCCCUUGUCGUCUGUAGGUUUCAACUUCACACUUUUUAUAUACAUGUAUGAGAACUUGUGGCUAUUUAUUUAUGGCCUUCUAACACUUGUUCUGCCAUUCCAAAGUGGGUUGGAGACUUUUUGAGUUGAAUGACUGGAAAGACUUCAGAUGACAAAAACUAGAGAUUUUGAAGAAAAAGGGUUACCAAGAACAUAAGUCAUGCCCACAAAAUAAACUAAACAUGCUAUAAGCUCCACAGUAAUAUUUACUUCAUCUCCAUAAUCAGAAUAUUGGGGAAAAAAUACCACGGAGAAAUACGUGAAAUGAAAAACAACUCAGCAGUUACUGUGAGAUUGUGUACAUAAAACUUGGAACAACCAAACCGAUUAAAGCUAAGCCAUCUCAUACGUACACCUACAUCAAAUAACAGUGUAUGGUCAUCUUGUUUAGAAUAUUGCAAUCAACACUUGGUUGAGACUGACCUGCAAAAACAACUGGGUUAAGUACAGAUGAAGCCACUUAUGAAGGGCAGUUCCAGAAUUAAGACCUAUGUUAAUUUGUAAUUGCCACCGAAUCAGUUCAUAGUGCCAAAUGCAUCUACCGGGCACACAGAUAUGACCAACGAAAAGAAAAGAAAGCAAAGUAAAAAAGAAAAAGAGGCAUGCCAUAAAUGGCAACUCAGCAGAAAUCAUCAGAUAUGCAUACAAGCNNNNNNNNNNNNNNNNNNNNNNNNNNNNNNNNNNNNNNNNNNNNNNNNNNNNNNNNNNNNNNNNNNNNNNNNNNNNNNNNNNNNNNNNNNNNNNNNNNNNNNNNNNNNNNNNNNNNNNNNNNNNNNNNNNNNNNNNNNNNNNNNNNNNNNNNNNNNNNNNNNNNNNNNNNNNNNNNNNNNNNNNNNNNNNNNNNNNNNNNNNNNNNNNNNNNNNNNNNNNNNNNNNNNNNNNNNNNNNNNNNNNNNNNNNNNNNNNNNNNNNNNNNNNNNNNNNNNNNNNNNNNNNNNNNNNNNNNNNNNNNNNNNNNNNNNNCAUUUGGUUUAAACACAACAUGUGAUUAGUAACAUUUAGUUUUACCCUUUUAUUCUUAUUUUCUUCGUUCAAACAUGGUGGUGAGACAAGCUCCAAACCAUCCCAUCAUAUAAAGCAAAACUCAUACAAUAUUUAUAGAUGCAAAAGUUAUAUAUUUUAUAUAUAUGCAUCAUCCGCAUUGCUUGAAAUUACAAAUUCACGUUCACAUAUUACUUUCCACAAGCGCACAGACUAACAAUAAUACUAAUCAACCAACCAGCUGUGACAUUCCUCCUAUUACUUCCAUAUUGAUAAUGUCAGAAGUUUCAUCGAUAAGCCUCAUCAAACUAGAAGUUUUUUAAUUUGAAUUAUGAAUUCAGAACUAAAAGCUCAUGAUAUGCAGAAAAUGACAUACAUUGUCCAGAAUUGACUUUCGAUAUAUUUCUGCUCUAGCAAUUUAUCGUCCAAAUUCUGGACUCUCUAUGUCAGGUGCUUCUUUGUGUUCUGUCCAGCAUAAGAAUGUUUAAUACUGUGAUUUCAAUUGUUUAUACAAAUUCUAUAAGUAAUAUUGAUCAGUGCUGUAAAUCUAUUUGAUGUUGGGAACAAACAUGGUCCCAUUAACAGAAACUCAAACAAAACAGGAAUUUUUUUUUUUUUGGCAUAGACAGCUGAAAAGAAACUUACAGCAAUAGCCUCUGUCACGCUCUCCAGAUGUUUAUGCUAGUUUGAAACAGCAGUAGUCAUACUACGCUUUGUCACAUACAAAAGAUCUGACAAUUUUAGACCCUAACCAUUUGUGAAGAGCAAAUAUUAGAUUUGCUUAAAGAAGACAACAACUCACAGAACCAAUGGAUGAAAUAAUAUGAACAUAAAUAUAUCAUCUGGAUACCUUCCACCACAUGUAACCAUAACCCAAUGCCCCCAAGGUAGCUGUUGGCAUUAUUAGUGAUGUCAAACCUAUUACAAAAAUCAAAGAAAAAAUAUAACCAAGUAUAAAAUGUUUCUAUUGCAUUAUGAAAUACAUACGUGUAAGGAAUUAAUCGUUUUACAACUUAACCAAAAAGUAAGGGCAGGAGCAUGCAUUCAUUGAGUGGUUAUAAGCAAGAGGAAAAAGCACAAAGCAUGCUAAGAAUUCAUUUGAACACAGAAGAGAAAGUAAACUACCUUGCAAUUUGGCUGUCAUUCCCCUUUAGGACGGCUCUCUGUAGUGAUGAGCCAAGUUGCCGGACCUCAGCUGCCAGUCGGCGCACCUAAAACAAAGUAACACAGGAAAAUUGAUAUCCAUUACAAAAAACAAAAAUUGAACACGAGAAAGCAUCCUUCGACACUAAAUUUAUAGCAGUUUUUCCAAUACCUGUGAUGCAAUCGCAUAAAAGUCACCUUCUGAUUGUUCUCCGGUUCUAUUGAACAAAGGCUGCAAACAAAACAGAAAUAAACACAAAUCCAUCAAUUUUUUGAGCAACAAGACACAAGCUCCUAAAUAAAUAAACUAUCUAACUGAUCAAAACCCUAGUUUACCAAAUGCAUUACAAAAUUGAAAACUAAUACAAAAAUAACACCAAAUACAAAUGUUCUGCGAGUUCCAUUAGCAAAGCAGAGUACAAAUCAUGAAAAUGGUACCUGAAGUUCACCGAUCAAUUCAGAUAAUUUACCAUUCUUACGCAGGAUGGUGCUAGUAUACCCUGCACAAAGAGAACAAUCACUCAGAUCGAAUACAGCUAAAUACACAAGGAAACUAAUCCAGUAUGCAAGCUGAAAGAGGAGUGAUUGGUACCUACUCCAGCUAAGAUCAGCAAACACAGUAUGAGGUUCCAAAUUUAAAUAACAACAUAAUGCUAAGCAGAAAAGUGGAAUUGCUGCCGAAAUUAUUUAAAACGAACUAAGUCAAAACUAAAUGGAGAAAUGUUAACAAAGUUGUAUGCUUCAGUAAGUCCAGUAAUAGAUUCCCAAAACCACAGAGAAAAAAUGUGAACAAUGGCUACAAAAGCAUCCAUAAAGAGCAACUAUAUUUAUAUAUGGAGGUGUACAAAAUAGUUAACCUUCAAAAUCGAAACAGUGUGUGUGCCAUGUAAGGCAAUUAGCCACUGCUUCUAGACUGUACAAUAUUACACCUCACAAUAAUAACUAAACCAACUAGCUCUAGCAAAAAGGCAGGAUGACCAUAUAAAGUACCCCCAGCAAAGCAUCUACGUCUGCAUCUUCAUAUAAAGGAGUUCCUGACAUAAGUAAUGAGCAAAGUGAAUUCCCAAGUCCAGAGUGAGGUGAAUUCACGGACAUUAAGACAUUUACCUCAUAAAUAUGCCUCCCCCCUUAAACCCUCAAUUGCAAGCUUCAGUCGGUAAUAUUUGAUCUUCAAAGGGUCAACUUUAUCCACUGAGAUGCUCGAUGAAUUUGACGGUCAUGAUUCUGCAAGACGUACUGUGAGGCCAAUAAGUUGGGAAAUUAGAACUGCAGUUAUGUAAAAUUUGGAUAAACUGCACUAAAUUCACAAAGCUUACCCAUCUCGUUGUUGUGGCACAUCUGCAAUGCUGCAAACUGAGAAUGGCGUAAACCUUGACAUCUUCAGCCCCUUUUGCUUAACCUCUUCAGCCUCAGAAUCUUCAUAAAAGUGCAUAUCGUACAGCACUCGUGCCAGCGUAUCGCUAAUAGGGUGCAGAAGUGUAACCAGCUUCGAAGAUUUGGUAAAAGCAACAUAGGAGUCAUACACAGUUGCAGUAUGUCUGACGAAAUCAAUUUCGAUUGCAACCCAGUGGGACCCUUGAAGAUUAUAUGGAAAAUAGACCUUUCGGACUUUUGUCCAAGCUUGGCCAUACCCGUGUUGCCACGUACCGCGCACAUAGUGAUGUAUAUUGUUCAGCUUACUGGGUGGAAGGACAACGGUGUUUGAAGCAGCUGCCUUCUUCGAUCCACAUUUCUUGGCAGUCGGUUUAAACGGCUCUAGAAAUUGCUGCAGAAAUUGAAAUGAAGGCAUAUUAGAAAAUCACAACCGAAAGCAAAUGAAGCAGUGAAUGUAGCAUGGUAACAUGUUUACCUGCAAGCAACAAUCUGCCGUUGUCCAGUCAGUUCCAAAUACCAACGGAUGAGAGAGUUGCCUUUUCUGGAUAAGAAAGGUUGCCAUGUCCAGGUGCUGAAAGUUGACGCAUAUAAUAUCAGCACAAUUUCAUACAACUGUACACUUAAAAAAGGUGAGAAAACAAUUGAAUUAUCGUAAUAAAGUAAAGCUUUGUGUAUUCUUACCCUUGAGCUAAUCCAUUUCAUUUCAUUGAUAAGUCUGUAGAAAAAAUCAACGCCCACUGAAAAUGAUUCCAGCUGCACCUCCGCACUACAAAAGGCAAACUUGCAACGGUUACUUUUGUAGUCAUCUCAUAAUUCUGACUUUGUUGAUGACAAAAAUACACAUGUAUAUUAAAGCAAACUCUACAUUUUCUCAUUAGUCUAUGACUACAUACUAGAAUAGGAUGAAGAUUGGAUUUCAAAGGUAAAGAAUCCUAACCUGAUAUCGUUUUUCCAGGCAGUGCAAAACUCUAUUACUGCCUUCACAUCUUCAAUGGGCAGGGAUUUUGAUGGAUCAAAACAUGGCGGGGUGACAGUCGCAGCCGACACACUCAUCGUCCUCUUCUUACUCAAAGGAUCAGUAAAUGGGCUCAACAAUGUCUGCACCGGGCGCUUCUGUCUACACCCUUUACCUUCCACUUCUUUUUUUUCAACACUCGAACUACCUUCUUCAUCACCAGCCAUACUAACUGUGGGUAGACUUGGAGGAUUCAUCGGACCUCCCGAUGGCAUACUCUCAGUCAUUUUCCAAUCUUCUAACAAAGACAACACUCUUUGGCAGAUUUAGUCACACCCGGCCACAUCUUCCGGGGUAGGCAGCUUCUCGGAUUGUGCCUGCUCAGCUGCUUCAUGCACUUGUAAGUGAGGAACUGAAGCGGCCAUUUCUACCUCUUCGACUACCAUGGCUACGGAAGGUUCGGCUCUAUCAUCGGGGACUUGUGUUUCCAUUACUGCCAGUUCUGUAGGCGGACUAACAUAGUCAUGUAAUGGCGACAAGUCAUUGUCGCCUCCUUCAUUCAUAUGAGGACUACCGAGGUCCUCAUGUCCUUCUCCACCUUCAUUCACCCCACCAUUUCAUUUUUUCGGCUGCUCUAUCUCCACCUUAAAAUAAUGCUCAAUUGAAGCCAGGGUGUUGCGGAAAUCCUUCACACACUUUUUAUUUUUUUCGAACUCUCUUUCAACUUUCAAUGACUCCUUUCAUACCAUGUCUUCCAACUGAUGCACUCUGUUGCGAAGCGCUCGAUUUGAUAUGGCAACUUUGGCCAAUUCAUCCUUUGUCCUUUGAAAGUCACGCUUCAAAGUGCAUAACACAGUGGAUGCGACUGUACCCUGCAUUCAGUUAUAAUGCAAGUGUUACAAUAUUUUCAAAAUAUAUUGCAACAAUACAGCAGUUAUUUUCCUAUUGUAUUAUGACGUAUAUCUUGGAAAAAAUGUAAUGCUUGCCUUGGAAGACGACGGAAGGCUAGCAGUUUCGUCAAUGUCCUUAUCUUUUUCAUCUCCAGAGGCAGAAGUGCUGGUUUUUUGUUCAGUGUCAUCGCCAAACAACUCAACAAGUUCUUCAGUGUCGUCAACACUGUCACCCCAAGUCCAAUACGGCUGCUGCUUGUCGAUUACAGAUGGUCGGAGAAGUUGCACAUCAACCUGCAAUUUACACAUACAAUAUACAUAUCAGUAAACUUAUUAUAUUAUAUUUUCAUAUGCCUAACAUUAUCAUUAAAAACUUAACUAACCUCACGGUUCUCGAAUACUUGGCUCAUUAGCUCAUAAAAACACGGCGAACUAUUGCUCCUCCAAUGUAGUAAACGAGAGAUGUAGGCAUUAUCUUCGUGCACCACCAAAUGUAGUGCAGCCAAUGCUGGAAAUACCUCAUAAGCCCAAAUCUGGUUUGAGGAAUAAAACAUGAGUCACUGUAAACAAAUGAAAUUUAACUUCAAUAUGAAUGGAAAUUUGCUCACCUGAAGUGCAUAGGCAAAACCUUUGAGGUGGUACUCUCUUGGUCUACCAGUUACCGUUGUUUUUGCUUUUUUUUUUUUCAGAUUUUUUUGUUUUUACAGCUUUUUUGGGCACUUUCACUCUCUGGUAAUCUGCACAAAGUGCCCUCAGAAGUGACGCAUUUGUCUUGGCAUAACACAUAACACCCCAUGGAUAUUUCCCAAACUCUUCAAGGUCUUCCGCCAACUUCAAAUAUCGCAUGUCAAUGUGGACAUGUUUUUCACUACCCAACAGCACAAACACAGCAAAGUAUACAAAUCCGAGCUUCAAUACAUCGUCCGCAUCAGCGCAUUCGAGGAAGGCCUUUUUCUAAUUCCAAAAGGUUGACAGUUUUAUCGUUGCCAAAGUACUUCCUUUUCAAUGAGCAGUUCUCAUUAGUGGGAAUCAGAAUAAAGGGAAGGUUUCCAAACCUUAGCCCUGUCACGAUGCAAAAUUGCUGCGCCAUGAAUUGGAUCGCCUUAUUGCCAACGAUGACUUUGAUCCCGUUCAGUUGGGAAACUGUCUUUGGAUCAGCUUUCCUCAGCAGCAAGCCGUGGACAAUUGGCGAAGUCCACUUGAGGUCCUCAAUCAGUAGGAGAUGCCCAAAACAACUCUCUUCAAACCUUUGUAGCUGUUGUUCACUGAAUUUCUCCUUUAUCGUACUGAUUGCAGUCUUCGUAUGGGAUAGGGACAAUGCUUUUCCUUGGAACUUUUCUUCCUCUGCAAUCAUCAACUUAAUUUGAGCAACCAUAUUUCCCUGCAUGCCAAUAUUAUAAAAAAAAAAAUUUAGUCCGUUGCAAUCUAGACAAUAACAAGCAAUAAACAAUCAGCACUUAUCAACAACCUAUUAUAGGAUAUUAAGUGAAAAAUAAACAAAAAAUACAGAGCAUAAACAAAACCCCAGCUAUUUACAACUAACCUACUAAUUCAAUAGCUCAAAGCCACGUCUGAAGACACCCAGUACUCUACCACUCCUGCAUAAUAUAAUAUCUAAAGACACAUCUCAACACACCAGAUAAUCAUGAGACAGCUUCAGCUAGAAUGAGAAUGUGCGGUAGCACAAGCCUAAUUGAGAACAAUUCAAGACUAACGAUAGAAAUCUAUCUGACUAGAAAGAGUUUUAAAAAACAAGAAUACAUCGGGAAAGAAUUGAUUGACUUCAAGGUAUAGUGUAAUGGAACAUCCUAUGAAUUAGUGGCAACCACAAUAAUGACUCCACUAUGGCCCUCCUUUCAAAUGUAAGAAAAUGAAUGAAAUUGGCACCAUCCCUUCAGUUUUUUCUUAACAAAAUAAGAGGUCUGUAUGUAUUCUCUGCUUUAUCGAUAUCAAAGAUAAAUUAGUAAAUAAACCAUCAAAACUGUAUAAAAUGUUUGUAAGACAUGUACAAUUACAAAAUUAUAAGUUCUCCUCAGAAACAAAGUUCUCUAAGUAUCCAUACACAAACAAGAAAAGCAAAAGCUUAAAGAGUUAGCUUAUAGCAAAAUCAAUGUCCCCAUUUCUCUAAACCACACCUGCUGGUGGUAGGUUCCCAUCUUCCCUCAUUUCCCGCUUUCUUUUAAGCAAACAAUGAUCAAGCACAAAAGAACAAACUUUUAAAGAACUCAUAUUACACCACAUAUAGUUCUAAAGAAAACUUAUCCAUAUCCAAUAUGCAAGCCCUAAAGUUAGUAAACAGAGUUAUAAAAAAAUAUGUCAAAUUAACAAGCAUUAUUCUCAAACAAAAAGUAUGAUAUGGUUGGGAGUUUACAAGUUCAAAAUGAUAUACACAGGUUAAUUGUCUUAGACUUUAGAUAUCAUCUUCAACAAAGAAAAUACAUACCGAUUAGACUUGUAAGAAGGUUAAAUGCAAUGGUCAUAAAGACCCAUAGUAAGCCACCAAAUACCAAUCAAUAACUGCUACAAAAACCAUAAUAAAACCAUAAUAAACUAAAAAUACAACAGCACUAAAAUGCCAACACAACAUCACUACAUUAGCAAUACACUAGCAAAAAAACAACAAUACGACAUCAAUAGCAACAGCAAAACAACAGCAGUGCAAGCAUCAGUCCACAAAGAACAAACCCAUUCACUGUUUCAAACAAGGAAUCAUCAUACUAAGAUCAUUUCGGAGAAACCCCAAAACCAAUUUCAGUGAAACCCCUAAACCAAUUUCAGAGAAACCCCUAAACCUUCAACCAAUUUUGAACAAACCCCCGAACCAAUUUCAUAGAAAUGCAUAAACCCUAAACCAACUUCAGAGAAACCCUUAAACUGUAAGAAAAUGACGAUGAACCGUACCUGUUCAAGGUGAAUGAUGGAGUUGAGCUUCGAUGAACAGAUUUCGCUAGGAGAGGAAGAGAGAAGAGAGAGUCAGAGCUGAGCGACGAGAGAUUGAGAGCUGAGCAACGAGAGAGUGAGAGCUGAUCGACAAGAGAUGAGAGAGUGAGAGCAAAACGACGAAAGAGUGAAGAGAAACUGAGAGACGGAGCCAAGAGAGAGAGCUGAGAGAGAACUUCAGCAAAACUGAUAGAGAACUUCAGCAAAAGUGAUAUGUGUGCAAUAAGGGGACAAUAAAUAUAUAUUUAUAGGUUAUAGUUCUAAAUUUUUUUAAAAAGGGUGGUAUUUUCAGUUACAAUUAUAAAAAUAGUGGCAUUUAGAGCUAUUUCCCUAAAAAAUUUAAGAGGCUAAAUUUUAUGAAUAGUCCAUUUUGAGGGGCUAAAACAGCACCUAGCCCCUUGCCCUUCCAUUAGACGUGCUCUAAGAGUGUUCUAUUAUUGACUAGUAUAUGUCGAUGAUAUUUUUGUCAUUUCGUUCAAAUAUGACGUUUCCUAUAACAACAAAACACAAUCAACAUACAUCUGGAGCAUGUCUGCCUUUGCUAGCACAAGAUAUUAUAGUAACAUGGAAAAAUAUUUGAGUAUGACUGUCAUAUUGUUACAUAGUUACUAAUUCACGUGUUAUAAUAUGAGCAGACGACAAUUCAUAUUUGAAAGUAUAAAUUAAACACAUAAUAACAAGAGUUGUAACAUCACAUAGUGGUAUGACAGUUACAUAGAAUAAUUUAUUCAUAAUAUGAGGAUUAAUAAUAGUUUUUCUGUUACUUUACAUAAUGUCAACCACGGUUAUAUCCACCAAACCCUAGUUAAUUUCUAAUUAGUCAAGGAAAACAAAUGUUUCAAAAUCUUAGCCUUUUUUAUACAGAAAGUAAGUAGAAGAGCAAAAGUAAGACUAAAACAUAUGCAACAUACGUGUUAAUUGUUGUAAACAAUUGCAGCAGAAUCCUCAGUAAUGCUAUGGAUAUCUAUUAACGCAUGUAUGGAUACCCUGAUCGAAAAUCUCAUAGCUUGCUCAAGGGACCCAAAAGAAGAAAAAAACCUAAACAAAAACAGAAACAAAUCUGAUCCUAAGUCACGCUAGCACCUUAAAGAGACAAUUUGUCUUGUCAAUGACCCAAUCUUAAUUGAUUUCUUACGUGUGUUGUUAAUUAAGUUUUUUUAGUAUAAGUGAUUGGAAGAGGGGGGGUUUACACAAAUAUUCAAUGAGCAUUUGGGAGUUCAAACUUCUAUUCCAUUGACGGAUAUAAACGAACUCAAUCAAUUGAAUUAUACUCUAUUGCCGUCGUUAAUUAAAUUUAUUUGAAUUCAUGUAGGUAAUUAAGUUUAUUUGAAAUUAUGUAGUUGUGAUAUAUCAAAACGUGUUCAUACCCAAAAACAUUUAUACCAAAACCUGUGCAUUUGAAGUGGAACACAUACUAUUUGGUUUUUAUUUUACCAUGCAAUAAUGAUUUUGGGUACGGUUGCAGGUUAAGUGUGUGGCUCGUUUUUGUGGCGCUUAUUAAGUUUAGUGACAGUUAUCUAUUCAAUUAAUGACACUUAUGUUUGAAUUUUGGGACCGCUAUGGUUUUAGCUCUAGAAAAGGAUGAUUUUGAAGAAAUCCAUACAUGACACAUAGUAAUGAUAAUUUGAGCUAAGAUUGGUGUAACUUCAACUUUCUGUUUCUUUAAAGGCUUAGCGCCCUUUAACUAAUGGAUGGAAGAUGGCUAACCCGAAUGAAAUUUACACUUCGGCCAAAUCUACUUUGGAGAAUACAAAAAAGUCCUACGUCAAUUAAAAUUAUAAGUAAAAUCUUGUAAUAACAAUCUAUUAAAAUCAUAAAAAAAAAUCAUGUAAUUAAAAAUCAUGCUGAAAUCUAUUAUUUUAAAAUCAUGUAAUUACAAUCUAAUCAAGAUUUUUAAGUAAUAAAAAAAAAUCUAUUGGUAUUUAAUUAGAAUUUUUAAAUAAUCAAUCCCAGUCUAGUGGUAUUUAAUUAGGACUUUUAAAAGAUAAAAAAAAAUACGGUGGUAUUAAAAAACUUACCGAUUUUGAGGUAUUUCGUUAAAUGAUGUAUUGUGUGAGACUUUUAAGUGGGUGACAUAAAUACCAAAUCCCAUAAAAAGAUCCCACCCUUCUAUAAUUGGGACCCCAUCCAAGAUACUCAUGUCUUAUUACAACAACUUGGUUUAACCAGACUUGAUCCUUUUGUAUUUAAUGGAUAUACUCAAAUGGCUUACCUUGAGAUAUCUAAACAAUAAUUUUGGAGCUAUCUAGAUUCAGAUACGUUGCUUUCAAUAGUUGUUCAUAUUAUGCAAUAUGCAUGCAUUUUUCGCGAUAACUUUUGGGCUUGUUUAUUUCCUUUGAUUUAUUUGUCUUUCUUUAGUCAAUUUGUAGAAUCAAUGAGUGACAAGUGUUUUGUACCAUUUUGACUUGUUUUCAACUAUCCAGUUUCUUAUUUGAACUGAUUCAAUUAACUUGUCUGUUGUAAUUUUUAUAAAAUCAUUUAAUUCAAGAUUUUUCCUUGUAUCCUGUUUCUCUGUCAAUUUUCAAUUCCAGAUUAAGAUUAGGCCAGUGGCUCAUGAUCAGAUUUGUUUUUACUAUUGCCUCUUUUAGGAGACAAUCAUUGACAAGACAUAUUGCCCUUUUAAGGGGAUAACGGUACUCAUGAUUAGAUUUGUUUUUGUUUUUAUUUAGGUUUUUUUUUAACACCCCGACCCCAAAUUUUCCCAAAUUUAACCCUUAUUUAAUUCUUUAAUUAUUUAAGGGUAUUUUAGUUAUAUUUUUAACCGGAGAGAGUUUGGGGCCGUGACUUGUAUUUCUGGAUAGGUCGUACUGAGACGAGUUCAUAGACACGUAGUGGGCUCGAAUCGGAGUUGUAACGAGAGAGAUAUGGUCAAAAGAAGCCCAGUGGCACAAUCGUAAAUAUUUCGAAAUGAAAUUUUUAUAAAAACUCAGAUUUUUUUUUCUCUCUCUCUCCUCUCUCUCUCUCCCGUCGGCCUCUCCUCUCUCUCUCCUCGUAACUCCGGCCACCGGCCGCGGCUGCGGACGGGGCCGGUGCCAAAAGAACCGGCUCGACCUCGGCGUCACGACCCAGCCCAUCCCCGACAUCGGCCGCCGCUCCAGCCGCCGGAAAAUGGCGAUUUUCGCCCGAAUGUCGCCGGAUUUUCAAAGCCGUCGAUCUCCCUCCUCCGGCCACCAAAUCCGACGAGCAAGGUAUGGUUUCUCACCUAUUUUUCAUGCUCUAGCUGCCUGUUGGGUAGGAUUAGAUCGAUUCUUAGCGUAACUAACUCGAUUUUCAAAUUGAAAAUCGGCCGAACUUCAGCCGCCGUGAUCGGCCAUUUUCGGCCACCUUUUGGGGUAGGUCCAAGAACAAAAGUGGCUCCAAACAGGGUGUUAUACCUAGGGUAGGAGUUUGGAGCCGUGGUUUUGAGAUUUUCCGGCGAAGCGUUAUCGCUUUGGGCACCACGCGCUGCCGGCGCGUGCGGCGGCGCGUGGACACUGUAUAAAAAUUAGCACUGUGUUCCGUUGAGAUCCUUAGGUUGUCACGAGUGCGUAGGAUUUCACGGAUCUCAAUUCGGACUUCGUUUGACUAUCGAACGGAUAUUCGCAUAUUGUGCGUUAUCCGGGUUCGAUAGGUUGGGACCGUUGGAUGGUCCCAAAUUUAAUAUAUGUUAAUCUAGGUAAUUCUAGGAUCGUGUAGGAAUUCACGGAUCGUGAAUCGGAGCCCCGGAUGUUCCGAAUAAUAAUUUUAAGUUUAUAUUUUAUAUUAACCGUCGGAUCGUGCGAUCGUGAGAAAUUCGACCGUCCGAUCUGAACCAAAGUCGCAGGACAAGUGUCCUAUACCUGGUAGAACCCAUAGAGACUUUCGGAUCGGAAAUUGGAGGUCGUGGGUUCUGCAGGUCCGUUGGACCAGGGUUAGAGUAGUUUGACCCUUGGUUGACCGUGAGUCUCCCGGAGUAAUCUCACCUUUCUAGGGGGGAUUAUCGGGUACUAGAUGAUUGUGGAGGGUUACACAAUAUUAGAAUUAAUUUAUACAAUUAUAAUUAUAUAUGGUUGUACAAGGGUACAACAGAGUCUAGAAUGUCAGUUUGGAGUGCUAUACGCACUACCUUAGGUACCUCCUCGGACUUUGGAUUUACUACAAGCACCACCAAGUGAAAGUUAGGUCCCACGUGGCGUAGGUUAUCCGGCGUUGGGACAGACCCCAUACGUGGCGUUGGUUGUACCGGCGUAUGGGGAGAUUUGUAAUAUGAUGUUCAGGUCUCACGUGGCGUAGGUUCUCCGGCGUGUAGACAGGCCCCAUACGUGGCGUUGGUUGUACCGGCGUAUGGGGAGAUAUUGUGAUAUUGUGCUGAGGUCGCACGUGGCGUAGGUUAUCCGGCGUGUCGACAGACCCCAUACGUGGCGUUGGUUGUACCGGCGUAUGGGAAGAUUUGUGAUAUGAUGUUGAGGUCCCGCGUGGUGCACGUUAUCCGACGUUGGGACAAGCCCCAUACGUGGCGUUGGUUGUACCGGCGUAUGGGGAGUUAUGUGAUAUGAUGUGCAGGUCUCGCGUGGCGUAGGUUAUCC
rnacentral:lncRNA from 1 species